rnacentral:lncRNA from 1 species
GGUAUCAACUGUGGCAACCAGAGGAACCGGAUAUUGAAGAAGAAGAAUAGAAAUACAGUUCGCAUAAAAGAGUAUUUUAUCACACAAGGGAAUAAAUCUCCAGUGUUGUUAAAAUGUUAAUAACAAUUCGGCUGGGGCAGAAUAAUACUACAUGUCAUGAUGUUCUGAUUGAAGUCUGCGACGUCAAUCAUUCGGGCGUGGAAGACCAUACCAAGCAGCAUCCGGAAUAUCACGAGAAGACAGUACGCGAUAGAGGACAAGGCAAAAAGAAUAAACAACAACUCUACUGUACCCAGGACAAUUAUUGAGGAGCGGAGAGCCGUCCAAGUGUCCAGGCAAUAGAAGAGGAGAAUAGUUGAAGGCACCAGAAGCCUUAAGCACGAAGCAACUUCAGAAGCCUCUGCCGCGACUAUAAAAGGAGGUACCGGGUGAAGCAUUGGAGGCACCACCACCGCAGCACGACACCACACUACGACAUCAACCAGAUCACAACCAAAGCAUCACCAAGAAUCACGAAGACACACUGCACCACCGAAGACCCCCACUCAUACUCCACUCAUGAAGACAUCCACCACCACUCUCUGAGACAAAGAAUUAGCCACCAUACUUUAGAAUCUACCGCUGUAUUACUCCACCUCUGUACUACCACUACUAGAAUAAAGGGAGGCCGUUGGAGCUCGUCCCUCGGUUUGUAAGGUAAUCAAGGUUUGUGCUAAGUGCUUGGGGUUUCCCGAAAGGGAAAGCCGCAUGUAAGCUUGUCCUGUGGAAAUGGAUUAAGCUGUCUUGGCAGCAUCCCUGCCUUCCUUUAAGCUCAUUCGUAUGGGGUGAUGUCUCUACGCUAGGGACCCUAGAGGAGAAACCUCUGCGCGUGUCGUUCUCGUGUUAGCCCUGGUAGCGGCGUUUGAGGAGAACCCUGUGUGCGCAGAGAAGUGUUCCCUUCGGGUGGAACUGUCUGGGGAGACGAUAGAGCCUGAGUCCUGUUUGAGCGUGGCUGGGGACGGUGAGGGUGCAGUCCGGGCUGGCCUGGUUCUGAAGCGAGCCAGCGAGGCAUACGGUGAGUACCGAGUAGGACUGUCACAAGCAUAGCAGCACGUCCUGCUGAAUCUUCGGUCUCGCCAACCCGCAAAGAUCCUGAGAAUAGGCUUAAUUAAGGAAUAUACCUAAUCACGCACCCGCGCGUGCUCGUAUCCCUGAAAGAGACCCCGAAUAGUAGCUCAAUAGUGCGCAAUAGUGAGUGAAUAGUGGCUGAAUAGUGCCGCCACCCAUAGGUGCUCCAUCCACUCCCGGUGAGUGCUCGGGCACUAUUCAUAUUCCCGAAUUUGAAUAGUGAGCUGAAUUUAAAUAGUGCCGCGAAUUUGAAUAGUGUUCAUCGAAUUUGAAUAGUGCUGUGAAUAGUAACUCGAAAUUUGAAUUCCGAAAUUUUUCGUAGUCGCUCGUUCCCUCGCCCUUGAUCGUAUUAUCCCCUCGUCCAAUACUGGUAUCAGAGCCAGGCAUGCGGUGAGUACCGAGUAGGACUGUCACAAGCAUAGCAGCACGACCGGUUGAAUCUUCGGUCUCGCCAACCCGCAAAGAUCCUGAGAAUAGGCUUAAUUAAGGAAUAUACCUAAUCACGCACCCGCGCGUGCUCGUAUCCCUGAAAGCGACCCCGAAUAGUAGCUCAAUAAUGCGCAAUAGUGAGUGAAUAGUGGCUGAAUAGUGCCGCCACCCAUAGGUGCUCCACCCACUCCCGGUGAGUGCUCGGGCACUAUUCAUAUUCCCGAAUUUGAAUAGUGAGCUGAAUUUAAAUAGUGCCGCGAAUUUGAAUAGUGUUCGUCGAAUUUGAAUAGUGCUAUGAAUAGUAACUCGAAAUUUGAAUUCCGAAAUUUUUCGGAGUCGCUCGUUCCCUCGCUUUUGAUCGUCACGAGGAGACAGUGCGCGAUAGAGGACAAGGCAAAAAGAAUAAACAGCAACUCUACUAUACCCAGGACAAUUAUUGAGGAGCGGGGAGCCGUCCAAGUGUCCAGGCAACAGAAGAGGAGAAUAGUUGAAGGCACCAGAAGCCUUAACCACACUACGACAUCAACCAGAUCACAACCAGAGCAUCACCAAGAAUCACGAAGACACACUCCACCACCGAAGACCUCCACCCACACUCCACUCAUGAAGACAUCCACCACCACUCUCUGAGAGAGAUAGAAUUAGCCACCAUAUUUUAGAAUCUACCGCUGUAUUACUCCACCUCUGUACUACCACCACUAGAAUAAAGGGAGGCUGUUAGAGCUCGUCCCUCGGUUUGUAAGGUAAUCAAGGUUUGUGCUAAGUGCUUGGGGUUUCCCGAAAGGGAAAGCCGCAUGUAAGCUUGACCCGUGGAAAUGGAUUAAGCUGUCCUGGUAGCAUCCCUGCCUUCCUUUAAGCUCGUUCUUAUGGGGCGAUGUCUCUACACUAGGGACCCUAGAGGAGAAACCUCUGCGUGUGUCGUUCUCGUGUUACCCCUGGUAGCGGCGUUUGAGGAGAACCCUGUGUGCGCAGAGAAGUGUUCCCUUCGGGUGGAACUGCCUAGGGAGACGGUAGAGCCUGAGUCCUGUGUGAGCGUGGCUGGGGACGGUGAGGCUGCAGGCCGGGCUGGCCUGGUUCUGAAGCGAGCCAGCGAGGCAUGCGGUGAGUACCGAGUAGGACUGUCACAAGCAUAGCAGCACGUCCGGCUGAAUCUUCGGUCUCACCAACCCGCAAAGAUCCUGAGAAUAGACUUAAUUAAGGAAUAUACCUAAUCACGCACCCGCGUGUGCUCGUAUCCCCUGAAUGCGACUCCGAAUAGUAGCUCAAUAGUGCGUAAUAGUGAGUGAAUAGUGGCUGAAUAGUGCCGCCACCCGUAGGUGCUCCAUCCACUCCCGGUGAGUGCUCGGGCACUAUUCAUAUUCCCGAAUUUGAAUAGUAAGCUGAAUUUAAAUAGUGCCGCGAAUUUGAAUAGUGUUCGCCGAAUUUGAAUAGUACUAUGAAUAGUAACUCGAAAUUUGAAAUCCGAAAUUUUUCAGGGUCGCUCGUUCCCUCGCCCUCGAUCGAGAUUAACAUACCAGUAUUGGACGAGGGGAUAAUACGAUCAAGGGCGAGGGAACUAGCGACUCCGAAAAAUUUCGGAAUUCAAAUUUCGAUUACUAUUCACAGCACUAUUCAAAUUCAACAAACACUAUUCAAAUUCGCGGCACUAUUUAAAUUCAGCUCACUAUUCAAAUUCGGGAAUAUGAAUAGUGCCCGAGCACUCACCGGGAGUGGGUGGAGCACCUAUGGGUGGCGGCACUAUUCAGCCAAUAUUCACUCACUAUUGCGCACUAUUGAGCUACUAUUCGGGGUCGCUUUUAGGGAUACGAGCACGCGCGGGUGCGUGAUUAGGUAUAUUCCUUAAUUAAGCCUAUUCUCAGGAUCUUUGCGGGUUGGCGAGACCGAAGAUUCAGCUGGUCGUGCUGCCAUGCUUGUGACAGUCCUACUCGGUACUCACCGCAUGCCUCGCUGGCUCGCUUCAGAACCAGGCCAGCCCGGUCUGCACCCUCACCGUCCCCAGCCACGCUCACACAGGACUCAGGCUCUACCGUUUCCCCAGGCAGUUCCACUCGAAGGGAACACUUCUCUGCGCACACAGGGUUCUCCUCAAACGCCGCUACCAGGGCUAACACGAGAACGAGACACGCAGAGGUUUCUCCUCUAGGGUCCCUAGCGUAGAGACAUCGCCCCAUAAGAACGAGCUUAAAGGAAGCCAGGGUUGCUACCAGGACAGCUUAAUCCAUUUCCAAGGGUCAAGCUUACAUGCAGCUUUCCCUUUCGGGAAACCCCAAGCACUUAGCACAAACCUUGAUUACCUUACAAACCGAGGGACGAGCUCCAACGGCCUCCCUUUAUUCUAGUGGUGGUAGUAAAGAGGUGGAGUAAUACAGCGAAGAUUCUAAAAUAUGGUGGCUAAUUCUAUCUCUCUCAGAGAGUGGUGGUGGAUGUCUUCAUGAGUGGAGUGUGGGUGGAGGUCUUCGGUGGUGGAGUGUGUCUUCGUGAUUCUUGGUGAUGCUCUGGUUGUGGUCUGGUUGAUGUCGUAGUGUGGUGCAUCCAAUGCUUCACCCGGUACCUCCUUUUAUAGUCGCGGAAGAGGCUUCUGGAGUUGCUUCGAGCUUAGGGCUUCUGGUGCCUUCAACUAUUCUCCUCUUCUGUUGCCUGGACACUUGGACGGGUCCGCGCUCCUCAAUAAUUGUCCUGGGUACAGUAGAGUUGCUGUUUAUUCUUUUUGCCUUGUCCUCUAUCGCGCACUGUCUCCUCGUGAUAUUCUGGAUGCUGCUCGAGCGACUCCGAAAAAUUUCGGAUUUCAAAUUUCGAGUUACUAUUCACAGUACUAUUCAUAUUCGGGAAUAUGAAUAGUGCCCGAGCACUCACCGGGAGUGGGUGGAGCACCUAUGGGUGGCGGCACUAUUCAGCCACUAUUCACUCACUAUUGCGCACUAUUGAGCUACUAUUCGGGGUCGCUUUCGGGGAUACGAGCACGCGCGGGUGCAUGAUUAGGUAUAUUCCUUAAUUAAGCCUAUUCUCAAGAUCUUUGCGGGUUGGCGAGACCGAAGAUUCAGCCGGUCGUGCUGCUAUGCUUGUGACAGUCCUACUCGGUACUCACCGCAUGCCUCGCUAGCUCGCUUCAGAACCAGGCCAGCCCGGUCUGCACCCUUACCGUCCCCAGCCACGCUCACACAGGACUCAGGCUCUACCGUCUCCCCAGGCAGUUCCACCUGAAGGGAACACUUCUCUGCGCACACAGGGUUUUCCUCAAACGCCGCUACUAGGGCUAACACGAGAACGACACACGCAGAGGUUUCUCCUCUAGGGUCCCUAGCGUAGAGACAUCGCCCCAUAAGAACGAGCUUAAAGGAGGGCAGGGAUGCUACCAGGACAGCUUAAUCCAUUUCCACGGGACAAGCUUACAUGCGGCUUUCCCUUUCGGGAAACCCCAAGCACUUAGCACAAACCUUGAUUACCUUACAAACCGAGGGACGAGCUCCAACGGCCUCCCUUUAUUCUAGUGGUGGUAGUACAGAGGAGGAGUAAUACAGCGGUAGAUUCUAAAAUAUGGUGGCUAAUUCCUUCUCUCUCAGAGAGUGGUGGUGGAUGUCUUCAUGAGUGGAGUGUGUCUUCGUGAUUCUCUGGUUUUCUGCUUCUCUGGUGGUUCGUUGUCUGAUGUCGUAGUGUGGCUCUGAUACCAGUAUUGGAAAACCGCGGUCGAGAGCGAGGGAACGAGCGACUCCGAAAAAUUUCGGAUUUCAAAUUUCGAGUUACUAUUCACAGUACUAUUCAAAUUCGGUGAACACUAUUCAAAUUCGCAGCACUAUUUAAAUUCAGCUCACUAUUCAAAUUCGGGAAUAUGAAUAGUGCCCGAGCACUCACCGGGAGUGGAUGGAGCACCUAUGGGUGGCAGCACUAUUCGGCCACUAUUCACUAACUAUUGCGCACUAUUGAGCUACUAUUCGGGGUCGCUUUCAGGGGAUACGAGCACGCGCGGGUGCGUGAUUAGGUAUAUUCCUUAAUUAAGCCUAUUCUCAGGAUCUUUGCGGGUUGGCGAGACCGAAGAUUCAGCCGGUUGUGCUGCUAUGCUUGUGACAGUCCUACUCGGUAAUCACCGCAUGCCUCGCUGGCUCGCUUCAGAACCAGGCCAUCCCGGACUGCACCCUCACCGUCCCCAGCCACGCUCACACAGGACUCAGGCUCUACCGUCUCCCCAGGCAGUUCCACCUGAAGGGAACACUUCUCUGCGCACACAGGGUUCUCCUCAAACGCCGCUACCAGGGCUAACACGAGAACGACACACGCAGAGGUUUCUCCUCUAGGGUCCCUAGCGUAGAGACAUCGCCCCAUAAGAACGAGCUUAAAGGAGGGCAGGGAUGCUACCAGGACAGCUUAAUCCAUUUCCAUGGGACAAGCUUACAUGCGGCUUUCCCUUUCGGGAAACCCCAAGCACUUAGCACAAACCUUGAUUACCUUACAAACCGAGGGACGAGCUCCAACGACCUCCCUUUAUUCUAGUGGUGGUAGUACAGAGGUGGAGUAAUACAGCGGUAGAUUCUAAAAUAUGGUGGCUAAUUCUUUCUCUCUCAGAGAGUGGUGGUGGAUGUCUUCAUGAGUGGAGUGUGGGUGGAGGUCUUCGGUGGUGGAGUGUGUCUUCGUGAUUCUUGGUGAUGCUCUGGUUGUGGUCUGGUUGAUGUCGUAGUGUGUUGCAUCCAAUGCUUCACCCGGUACCUCCUUUUAUAGUCGCGGCAGAGGCUUCUGGAGUUGCUUCGAGCUUAAGGCUUCUGGUGCCUUCAACUAUUCUCCUCUUCUGUUGCCUGGACACUUGGACGGCUGCCCGCUCCUCAAUAAUUGUCCUGGGUACAGUAGAGUUGCUGUUUAUUCUUUUUGCCUUGUCCUCUAUCGCGCACUGUCUCCUCGUGAUAUUCUGGAUGCUGCUUGGUAUGGUUUUCCACGCCCGAAUGAUUGACGUCGCAGACUUCAAUCAAAACAUCAUGGCAUGUAGUAUUAUUCUGCCCCGGCCGAAUUGUUGUUAACACCUUAACAACAAUGGAGACUUAUUCCCUUGUGUGACAAAAUAUUCUUUUAUGCGAGCUGUAUUUCUUAUUCUUCUUCUUCAAUAUCCGGUUCCUUGGUUGCCUCUUUUCUUGGUUAUUCUUGGCUAUCUCCACGGAAAUCCAUCAUAUCAUCAUCAGAUAUGGGUACUUCCAUUUUCAACUCAUAGUCUUUUUGCAUAUUUUUGAAUUUCUCAUCUAUUUCAAGCCUUAUUUCUUUCAUUAUUUCUUCUUUUAAAUUAUUCUUCCAUUGAGGAAAUAAUGAUUCAAGUUUUUCCUUUAUCUUAUUGUCAAUAUAUUCCUCAUUUGAUGAGUCUGCUUCUUUCUUCAGAAUUUCUUUAUAUGUUGGAGCCUUAGAUGAACCUUCUUCUUUGAUAUUUAUUCCAGAUGGGCUUGGCUUAAGCUCUCUUAUUUUUUUAUAUUUUUGGAUAUAUUCCUUAGCAGCAGGUUCUAAAAAGUAGUUUACUCCUAACAUAUUUCUAGCAUAUGUAAGAGCUUGAUCAAUGUCAGUAUAUUUCUUCCAUAGUAUUCCUCCAUCUUUAUCUUUUUCUAUUUUUUGUGCUAUUACUUGCUCAAAUGAUACAUAAAUUCCAGGAUUCUUUCCUUUAUAUAUCACAUAUAUGGCCUUUUUCUCUAUAUUUUCGGGUGACUCCUUUGGUUGUAUUAGCCCAUUAAUUGUAUGGAAGUAUUCAGCUAGGCUAUUUAAAAUAGCUAGCAUAUAUCCCUUAUCUUCUCGUUUAUUGUUGUAUUGAUACCAAAAAUUGUCUAAAAUGCAUUCUUGUACUUUGUCUAGUACAAUAUGAUCCCUUGGUUUAAAUUUAUAUGUGUUUGGAGGAAAUAUUCUUAGCUUAUUCUCUGCUCCAAAGCAGAAACAGUCAAUCCCUGUUGGACUCACUCCCUUCUUCAUUCCUGCAAAAUAGAUGAACGAGAAAAUAUAUCAGGAAGGGUAUUAUCCUUUCCCUUUAUAUGCUCAAAUAUUACUUUAUAUCCAUUCCCUGUAAUUAUAUCUUCAAAUAAAACCCAUCUUCUAGUUGAACUUUUCUUACUAUUAAUUUUAUUGCAGUAUCUACAUAUAGCUUCGCAAUCUGUUCGCACCGUGAACUCUUUAAAUCCUAGAUAUAGUCUGAAAGCAUUUAGCGCAUUAAUAACAGCUAAAAUUUCUCUAUCUGUAUUAUUUAUUGCCUUUAGUUUAUAUUUCCCUGAAGCAUACCUACAUAUUUUUUCUUCUGUUUUUGGGGAGUAUUUAUGAGGCUUUUGCUUUAAUAUAGCACCCCACCCUAUUUCAGAUGCGUCUGUUUCUAUAAUAAAAUAAUAGUCAUCUAGAGGUAAAUCUAGAGGUUUUAAUUCUUUCACCUUUUCUUUUAUGAUUCUUACUAGCUUUAUAUCUUCGGAAUUAAAAUGUUUUUGCCCGUUUUUUCUUAAUUUCGCAUAUAAUGGCCCAGCUAGUUUUGCUAAAUUUUCUAUGUAAUUUCUAGCAUAAUUUACUAUUCCUAAAAAUUGCUGCAAGGUUUUCUUAUCAUUCAUGACAUCAGGAAAUUGCAAAAUUUUCUUUGCAAUAUGAUCUUGUAAAUAAAUUUUUCCCUCUCCUAUUUCAUGGCCUAAGAAAUUUCUCUUUUCUUUGCAUAUUUCCAUCAUCUUUUUAGAAAGUAUUAACCCAUGCUGCUCUACCUUUCUAAAGAACGUUUCCAAAUGAGCUAUAUGUUCUUUAUAAGAUUUUGAAAAAACUAAUAAAUCAUCUAUAUAAACCAAUAUGAAGUCUUGAUUUUCAUUAAAGAUAUUCUGCAUUUUUCUUUGAAACAGAGCAGGGGCAUUUUUUAGUCCUAAUGGCAUUACCAACCAUUCAAAAUGACCUUGAGGACAUGUGAAAGCAGUCCAACCUAUUGAUUCUUCUGCCAUUUUUACUUGCCAAAAUCCAGCUUUUAAAUCAAAUUUUGAGAAAUAUUUGCUUCCUUGUAUUCUAUUUAUCCAUUCUUGCUCAUUUGGGAUAUUAUAUCCGUCAUCUAUUGUAUUAUCAUUUAAUCUUUUAUAAUUAAUAACCAUCCUUGACUUUCCUCUAGCUAUUUCAGCAUGAUUUCUAACUAUAAAGGCUGCUGACCUAUGGGGACUUCUGCUUUCUCUUAUUGCUCCUAACUUUAGUAAUUCUUCAAUAUGCAUCUUAAACUCCUCUAUAUCUUUAGGUGUCGCUUCUAUCGGACUAGUCUUAAUUAUAUAAUCUGGAUUUAUUAUAUUAAGCUUGCAAACUAUACCAUUCUUAUCCCAAUAUUUCAUUGGUAUUUCUCCUAUUAUUUGAAUUUCUUCUAACCUUUGUACUAUCUUAUCUAUGUCUUUCUUAGAUUUUAUAUCUCUAUACCAGUUUGGUGAUAGCGAUUGCAAACUAAUACACUCUAUGCAUGUAUUUGCUAUAUGGUAUUCUUCUAUACUUUCACCUAAUUCUUCGUCUAUAUUAUCAACAUACUUAUUAUCAUCAUACUCUUGAGUUUCUAUUUUAGCUUUUCCUUCAUUAGAGCUUAUAGUUUCUCGUACUUCUGUUAUGUAUGGAAUAUUAUCUUGAUAUGGGAUGAAUGUAAUCCCUUGCUCAUGUAUAAUUGUUGUUUGUAAGGAAUACUGUAAAAACCUUAAUCCUAAUAUCAUAUCAUCAUUUAUCAUGGAUAAGUCCCUUAUUGUGAUCUCAUCCAUUAUAUAUUUUGUAUUAUUUAUUUGUAUCUCAAUAUUAUAAGCUAACUGGUUAUGAAGCUUUUUUAUUCCUGACAUAUCAGUAGAUAUUUCUACUUUAUCUUGAUCUAUUGUAUGUACUAUCUCUGGGCAUCUUGCAAAAUAUUUAUCAUGUAUAAUAUUUUUUGUACAACCAGUAUCUACUAAUGCUAAUAUUUUAUAAGUGAUGGUAGGUGUUAAUUUUACUUUUACAGGUAUCCUUAUUCCUACAAUUUCUUUAAAUGGUAAUCUAACUAUGUAUUUGCUGCCAAAAUUAAUUAUAGCAUCUUUUAAUUGUAUAGCCUUAUCAUUAUUUUUAUCAACUAUGGCUUGAUCUUUAAACUCAGUGUUGCCACUAACAUUUCCUUCAAUCUUAUUAUUAUUAAAUUCUAUUUUACUUAGAUCUUCCAACUCAGCUUCUAAGAUAUUUACUCAAUUUUCUAAAUUUCUAACUCUACUUGCUAGUAUUUUAUGUUCUGCUAUUAUUUCUAUUUCUCGUCUCCAUUUCUGAUUAGCAUUCCUUAAACAUGAAGCACAUGCUUGUUUUAAACAUACACUACAAGUAAAUCUAUUAUCUUGACUAGGAUAAUAUAUGCAAAAAGCACACUUGAUAUUAUAAUCACCUCUUCCUUUUAUCCAAUCAUGCUCACAAUCUCCUGGAUCCAUUAAUUCAGUUCUAGCUUCUUUCAAAUCACUUGUUUCUUCGUCUUUUAUUUCUAGCGCAUCCAUAGCAUUUUCUAUGUUAUGUAUUUCCUCUUCACCAAGAGAGUUUAUAAAAUCAUUGUGACUCUGCACAUUAUUUUCUUCUUCUUCUUCAUAGCUUUCUAAAGGAUAACUUUCAUUAACCUUCGUUUGGGCUUCUUUAUCAAUAGUGGAAUCUUUCAUGAUAUCAUUUUGCGGAACUUCUUUUGCUUUAUGGCUUUUAAGGUCUACUGACUUCACCUUAGCUUUUUGCUCUUUUAUUAAUUGAGAGUUGAUUUUUUCGUCAUAAAGAUCUUUAUCCUUUUUUAACUUAUAUAACAUCCUAAUAAAAUAAACUUCUUUCUCUCUAAUAGCAGGCCAUUCACUCAACAUAGAGGUAUUAUAUUCAUGAGGUAUUUUAUUUAACUUUUGUUCAUAGUGAUGAAUCUUGCUAACUAAACUUUCCAUUAAAAGCAAGAACACUUACUUAAGGUUGUAACAGCUAAUUCAAAUAUCUUGACUAGAUAUAGAAAAACCCUCAAAAACACAAAUUUUAACAACCUCGGCUCUGAUACCAGUCUGGGAAAUCACGAUCGAGGGCGAGGGAACGAGCGACUCCGAAAAAUUUCGGAUUUCAAAUUUCGAGUUACUAUUCACAGCACUAUUCAAAUUCGGCGAACACUAUUCAAAUUCGCGGCACUAUUUAAAUUCAGCUCACUAUUCAAAUUCGGGAAUAUGAAUAGUGCUCGAGCACUCACCGGUAGUGGAUGGAGCACUUAUGGGUGGCGGCACUAUUCAGCCACUAUUCACUCACUAUUGCGCACUAUUGAGCUACUAUUCGAGGCACCACACUACGACAUCAACCAGAUCACAACCAGAGCAUCACCAAGAAUCACGAAGACACACUCCACCACCGAAGACCUCCACUCAUACUCCACUCAUGAAGACAUCCACCACCACUCUCAGAGAGAGAAAGAAUUAGCCACCAUACUUUAGAAUCUACCGCUGUAUUACUCCACCUCUGUACUACCACUACUAGAAUAAAGGGAGGUCGUUGGAGGUCGUCCCUCGGUUUGUAAGGUAAUCAAGGUUUGUGCUAAGUGCUUGGGGUUUCCCGAAAGGGAAAGCCGCAUGUAAGCUUGUCAUGUGGAAAUGGAUUAAGCUGUCCUGGUAGCAUCCCUGCCUUCCUUUAAGCUCGAUCGUAUGGGGCGAUGUCUCUACGCUAGGGACCCUAGAGGAGAAACCUUUGCGUGUGUCGUUCUCAUGUUAGCCUGUGUAGCGGCGUUUGAGGAGAACCCUGUGUGCGCAGAGAAGUGUUCCCUUCGGGUGGAACUGCCUGGGGAGACGGUAGAGCCUGAGUCCUGUGUGAGCGUGGCUGGGGACGGUGAGGCUGCAGGCCGGGCUGGCCUGGUUCUGAAGCGAGCCAGCGAGGCAUGCGGUGAGUACCGAGUAGGACUGUCACAAGCAUAGCAGCACGACUGGCUGAAUCUUCGGUCUCGCCAACCCGCAAAGAUCCUGAGAAUAGGCUUAAUUAAGGAAUAUACCUAAUCACGCACCCGCGCGUGCUCGUACCCCUGAAUGCGACCCCGAAUAGUAGCUCCAUAGUGCGCAAUAGUGAGUGAAUAGUGGCUGAAUAGUGCCGCCACCCAUAGGUGCUCCAUCCACUCCUGGUGAGUGCUCGGGCACUAUUCAUAUUCCCGAAUUUGAAUAGUGAGCUGAAUUUAAAUAGUGCCGCGAAUUUGAAUAGUGUUCGCCGAAUUUGAAUAGUACUGUGAAUAGUAACUCGAAAUUUGAAAUCCGAAAUUUUUCGGAGUCGCUCGUUCCCUCGCCCUUGAUCAUAUUAUCCCCUCGUCCAAUACAACCAAGGAACCGGAUAUUGAAGAAGAAGAAUAAGAAAUACAGCUCGCAUAAAAGAAUAUUUUAUCACACAAGGGAAUAGGUCUCCAGUGUUGUUAAGGUGUUAACAACAAUUCGGCCGGGGCAGAAUAAUACUACAUGCCAUGAUGUUCUGAUUGAAGUCUGCGACGUCAAUCAUUCGGGCGUGGAAGACCAUACCAAGCAGCAUCCGGAAUAUCACGAGAAGACAGUACGCGAUAGAGGACAAGGCAAAAAGAAUAAACAGCAACUCUGCUGUAUCCAGGACAAUUAUUGAGGAGCGGAGAGCCAUCCAAGUGCCCAGGCAACAGAAGAGGAGAAUAGUUGAAGGCACCAGAAGCCUUAAGCACGAAGCAACUCCAGAAGCCUCUGCCGCGACUAUAAAAGGAGGUACCGGGUGAAGCAUUGGAGGCACCACACUACGACAUCAACCAGAUCACAACCAGAGCAUCACCAAGAAUCACGAAGACACACUCCACCACCGAAGACCUCCACUCAUACUCCACUCAUGAAGACAUCCACCACCACUCUCUGAGAGAGAAAGAAUUAGCCACCAUACUUUAGAAUCUACCGCUAUAUUACUCCACCUCUAUACUACCACCACUAGAAUAAAGGGAGGCCGUUGGAGCUCGUCCCUCGGUUUGUAAGGUAAUCAAGGUUUGUGCUAAGUGCUUGGGAUUUCCCGAAAGGGAAAGCCGCAUGUAAGCUUGUCCCGUGGAAAUGGAUUAAGCUGUCCUGGUAGCAUCCCUGCCUUCCUUUAAGCUCGAUCGUAUGGGGCGAUGUCUCUACGCUAGGGACCCUAGAGGAGAAACCUCUGCGUGUGUCGUUCUCGUGUUAGCCCGUGUAGCGGCGUUUGAGGAGAACCCUAUGUGCGCAGAGAAGUGUUCCCUUCGGGUGGAACUGCCUGGGGAGACGGUAGAGCCUGAGUCCUGUGUGAGCGUGGCUGGGGACGGUGAGGGUGCAGACCGGGCUGGCCUGGUUCUGAAGCGAGCCAGCGAGGCAUGCGGUGAGUACCGAGUAGGACUGUCACAAGCAUAGCAGCACGACCGGCUGAAUCUUCAGUCACACCAACCCGCAAAGAUCCUGAGAAUAGGCUUAAUUAAGGAAUAUACCUAAUCACGCACCCGCACGUGCUCGUAUCCCUGAAAGCGACCCCGAAUAGUAGCUCAAUAGUGCGCAAUAGUGAGUGAAUAGUGGCUGAAUAGUGCCGCCACCCAUAGGUGCUCCACCCACUCCCGGUGAGUGCUCGGGCACUAUUCAUAUUCAAAUUCGCGGCACUAUUUAAAUUUAGCUCACUAUUCAAAUUCGGGAAUAUGAAUAGUGCCCGAGCACUCACCGGGAGUGGAUGGAGCACCUAUGGGUGGCGGCACUAUUCAGCCACUAUUCACUCACUAUUACGCACUAUUGAGCUACUAUUCGAGGUCGCAUUCAGGGGAUACGAGCACGCGCAGGUGCGUGAUUAGGUAUAUGUUGGGAUACGAGGUAGGCUACAUUAGCGUAAAUCAAAAUUUCUACCGCGUAUAACCAGGAAGAACUGCCGUAUAAGGAUCACGGGAUUACCACUCGACGCACUACUGGUGCGGAAGAUGUAGAUAUGCGUCGAUGCAGUGAAGACGAUCACGUAGUCGUACGUAGUCGAUCAACGUAGUCGUACGUAGUCGAUCACGUCCAGCAGCUCCUCAGCAACUCGUCCACGUGCAGCAAGAUCGCCUCCGGUACCGCGGCUCGUCGUCGGCUCGUCGUGGCUCGUCGGCGGCUCGUCGAUGGCUCGUCCAAGUGCUGCAGGCGCAACACCUCCAAGGUAUCCACACGUGCAGGGAGGAAGCGUCGCAAGCCGGACUGCUAGAUCCGCAAGUUGCAACAGGCGAGGGCGUGGGAGGCGCGGCAGGUGUGUUUCGCCAAAAGGUGUAAACCCUAGGGCGCCCCCACCCCUCUAUUUAUAGAGGUUCCUGAUGGGCCUCUGGAUCCGAGGCCCAUUAGUACUCCUAAACCUAAUCCAACUCGGAUCAGAUCCGAAUUGGGCUUCCAGCCCCUUAAGUGUGUGACCCUAUGGGUUCGGAUACGUAUAGACAUGGCCCGAGUACUCCUACUCGGCCCAAUAGUCGGUAGCGGCCUCUAGCAAGACGUGCCAACUCCUAUACGCACACGAAGAUCAUAUCAGACGAACCAUCACAACAUAAUAUACAUGCUAUUCCCUUUGCCUCACGAUAUUUGGUCUAGCUUCAAGCCGACCGCUCUUUCUCGAUCCUGUGAUUCGGAAUCCCUUUGUAGGUUAACUCUUAACCGUACGUAGCAUGGCCAUGCAUUUUCGGAUCUGAUCACUCGAGGGGCCCAGAGAUAUCACUCUCAAUCAGAGAGGGGCAAAUCCCAUCUUGACUGACCAUGUCUCAUAGCAUGCUUCUUGACCAACCCGAAAGCUACCUUUAUAACUACCCUGUUACAGCGUAGCGUUUGAUAGCCCCUAAGUAGGUCGAUCCACAUCUAGAAUACAUGCGACAGUCUCAGGUCUAAGGACAAAGCGUAUAUGUUGUUUAAAGAGAGAACUACUUCUCGUGUUGGGUCAGUCCUAGCACAUGUCUCCACAUGUGUCCACAUUAUUAGUUCAACAUCUGCAUGUCCAUGACUUGUGAAACAUAGUCAUCAACUAAUACAUGUGCUAGUCUAAUAUUCAUGUGUGUCCUCACAUGAACUCCGACUAGGUACAACUUUAGAAUAACCAUACAAGUAAAGAGUUUCACAUACAAUUCACAUAAUUGCAAAUCAAUUCAAGUAGCCUUCAAUGGAUAUUCAAUGAACACAACAUACAAAUCAUGGAUACAAAUGGAAUAUCAUCAUCUCUAUGAUUGCCUCUAGGGCAUACCUCCAACAGCUCCACCACCAAAGACCUCCACUCAUACUCCACUCAUGAAGACAUCCACCACCACUCUCUGAGAGAAAGAAUUAGCCACCAUACUUUAGAAUCUACCGCUGUAUUACUCCACCUCUGUACUACCACCACUAGAAUAAAGGGAGGCCGUUGGAGCUCGUCCCUCGGUUUGUAAGGUAAUCAAGGUUUGUGCUAAGUGCUUGGGGUUUCCCGAAAAGGAAAGCCGCAUGUAAGCUUGUCCCCUGGAAAUGGAUUAAGCUGUCCUGGUAGCAUCCCUGCCUUCCUUUAAGCUCGAUUGUAUGGGGCGAUGUCUCUACGCUAGGGACCCUAGAAGAGAAACCUCUGCGUGUGUCGUUCUCGUGUUAGCCCGUGUAGCGGCGUUUGAGGAGAACCCUGUGUGCGCAGAGAAGUGUUCCCUUCGGGUGGAACUGCCUGGGGAGACGGUAGAGCCUGAGUCCUGUGUGAGCGUGGCUGGGGACGGUGAGGGUGCAGUCCGGGCUGGCCUGGUUCUGAAGCGAGCCAGCGAGGCAUGCGGUGAGUACCGAGUAGGACUGUCACAAGCAUAGCAGCACGACCGGCUGAAUCUUCGGUCUCGCCAACCCGCAAAGAUCCUGAGAAUAGGCUUAAUUAAGGAAUAUACCUAAUCACGCACCCGCGCGUGCUCGUAUCCCUGAAAACGACCCCGAAUAGUAGCUCAAUAGUGCGCAAUAGUGAGUGAAUAGUGGCUGAAUAGUGCCGCCACCCAUAGGUGCUCCACCCACUCCCGGUGAGUGCUCGGGCACUAUUCAUAUUCCCAAAUUUGAAUAGUGAGCUGAAUUUAAAUAGUACCGCGAAUUUGAAUAGUGUUCGUUGAUUUUGAAUAGUGCUGUGAAUAGUAACUCGAAAUUUGAAUUCCGAAAUUUUUCGGAGUCGCUCGUUCCCUCGCCCUGGAUCGUAUUAUCCCCUCGUCCAAUACUGGCUCUGAUACCAGUCUGGGAAAACCGCGGUCGAGGGCGAGGGAACGAGCAACUCCGAAAAAUUUCGGAUUUCAAAUUUCGAGUUACUAUUCACAGUACUAUUCAAAUUCGGCGAACACUAUUCAAAUUCGCGGCACUAUUUAAAUUCAGCUCACUAUUCAAAUUCGGGAAUAUGAAUAGUGCCCGAGCACUCACCAGGAGUGGAUGGAGCACCUUUGGGUGGCGGCACUAUUCAACCACUAUUCACUCACUAUUACGCACUAUUGAGCUACUAUUCGGGGUCGCAUUCAGGGGAUACGAGCACGCGCGGGUGCGUGAUUAGGUAUAUUCCUUAAUUAAGCCUAUUCUCAGGAUCUUUGCGGGUUGGCGAGACCGAAGAUUCAGCCGGACGUGCUGCUAUGCUUGUGACAGUCCUACUCGGUACUCACCGCAUAACCACACUACGACAUCAACCAGAUCACAACCAGAGCAUCACCAAGAAUCACGAAGACACACUCCACCACCGAAGACCUCCACCCACACUCCACUCAUGAAGACAUCCACCACCACUCUCUGAGAGAGAUAGAAUUAGCCACCAUAUUUUAGAAUCUACCGCUGUAUUACUCCACCUCUGUACUACCACCACUAGAAUAAAGGGAGGCCGUUGGAGCUCGUCCCUCGGUUUGUAAGGUAAUCAAGGUUUGUGCUAAGUGCUUGGGGUUUCCCGAAAGGGAAAGCUGCAUGUAAGCUUGACCCGUGGAAAUGGAUUAAGCUGUCCUGGUAGCAUCCCUGCCUUCCUUUAAGCUCGUUCUUAUGGGGCGAUGUCUCUACGCUAGGGACCCUAGAGGAGAAACCUCUGCGUGUGUCGUUCUCGUGUUAGCCCUGAUAGCGGCGUUUGAGGAGAACCCUGUGUGCGCAGAGAAGUGUUCCCUUCGGGUGGAACUGCCUGGGGAGACGGUAGAGCCUGAGUCCUGUGUGAGCGUGGCUGGGGACGGUGAGGGUGCAGACCGGGCUGGCCUGGUUCUGAAGCGAGCCAGCGAGGCAUGCGCCUACUGGCCCGGCUCCGUCCGCCGCCCCGGUCCUCCUCCGUCCCUCCGCCGCCACCGGGGACAAGGAUGGAAAGUGAUGAGGAGGAGCCGGAAUAAGCCACUUUUUUUUGCUUCCGGUGGGUGGAGAAACGUAGAGACCGCAUUUUGCGGGGCUUCUACUGGUUUUCGCGGGUGAGCCGUUUUGCCUUCUCCCGUUUGGCACGGCUUCAUCAAAAGCCACCCUAGAAGCCGCUCGAUGAGCCGUGCCAAAGGGGCCCUAAGAUUGUCUAAAACCUGAGGUUAAUUUUUCGUCCUACGGUUGCUCGCUCCCCGCGCCCCGCGCCAGGCCGCCCUCGCCACGUGCCUCCGCCUAGCCGCGCCCCCCUCUCCCCGCGCCGUCGGGUGAACCACAUGCGCCCGCGCAGGCCCGAGCUGCACGCCUCGCCUCCCGUGCCACAUGCCACCGCCUGGCUGCGUGCGCCCACUCCCCGUGCCCUAACCAACGGCCCGCCGCUGGCCUCCUGCCACUGCCACCGCACCAAGCCGCCCUUCGCCCGCAGGACCUUGGGAGAGAGACGAUCGAGAGAUAGGUUGUGCCAGCCUCUGGAAGCAGUAUGGAAACAUAAGCGGCAACUUUGUCUUUUCAUUGGGCUUCUGUUCUUUUUCUAAUUGCUUUAUUCUGCGUGCAGGUAACAGAGUUAAGGAUAAAGGUAAAUCGGAGCCUUCGAAAAGCAGGGUAAAAUACACAAAAUCAAAGAUAAUAGAUAGGAUAAAAGUUAAAUGCACCGAGGGUACUUGAACUUGUGGGUUGUGUCAUGUAGGUAUAUCAACUCUGAAAAUGCAUUUUUGUCCCCAAACUUGCUAACCAUGGUAAAUAGGUCCAAAUCUACUCUAAAACGCAUCUCUCUCCUCCAAUCCCUCUCAUCAUUCCUAUUAACGCUGCCGUGGACCCCUCCCUCUCAUUCUCUCUCUUUCUCUCUCUUAUCCCCCACCGCCCUCUGCUCCCUCCUCCCGUGCCGCUAGCCGCCCCAUCGCUCCCUUUCCACCGGCCGACGCACCUCCCUACCCCCGCUCCGGCGGCCACCGCGCCUCCCUCUUCCCCCGCCGCCACCGGCCGCCCCCUCUCUCCCUCCUCUCUCUUCCCUAAUCCCUGCGUCGCCGGCUCCUGGUCGGUGGCGGAGGCAGGGGUGCGAACGCCGCCGUGGUAGCGCAGGUGCAAGCGCCAGAGCCUGUGCUACCUCCUCUCUCCUCCCGCGCCGCCAGCCACCCCACGAGCCCCGGGUCCGCGGCGGCCUUGUGGUCGCUCCGCACGGUGUUGUGCAGCGCCAUCUCCCCGUGCCUGUUCGUGGCCCGGGCCAGUGCGCGCAGAGAGGAGGACGAGGUGGAGAAGGUGACGAGGGGCGCGACAACCUUGUGCACCCCGGCGUGCACCACGAGGUGGAGCGGGGUAUCGAGCGUGGCAUUGCACGGGGCGAGGAGGCAGGGGGCGCGGCGGAGGAGGAGCGAUGCGAGGUCCACGUGCCUGCCCAUGGCCGCAACAUGGAGGAGCGUGUUCCCCCGCCGUGGUGGCCGACUUGAGGUCCAGGGCGGCAGGGUCCGCCAGGAGCGUCGUGACGAACCGGCGCUCUUCGCCGCUGCGCGCCACGCGAAGCAGCGCGGGGCCCAUGGUCGGCAGCGCGGCAGUAGCAGGCAGCGGGCGCAGGGUCAGGCAGGGGGACACGGUGGUGGUGGUGGGCAUGGACGGCGGCGAGGCCUCCGCUGGCUCCGGCGAGGCCAUCGUGCGAGCGAGAGUCGGUGGUGGACCAGGGGGAGGGGGGAGGCGGCCGGCGGCACGGAGUGAGGGCGGAGCGGACAGCAGCGUGGGAAGGGAGGAAGGAGCAGUGGCCGAUGGCGCAGGAGAGGCAGCACCGGCGGCUACGCACGGGGAGGUAGUAGAGGUCGGUGGGAAGGAGAGAGAGAGAGAGAGAGAAAGAGAGAGAGAAUGAGAGGGAGGGAGGUCCACAUCAACGUUGAUAGGGAUGAGGAAAGGAAUUAGAGGAGAGAGAUGCGUUUUAGAGUAGAUUUGGACCUAUUUGGCACGGUUAGCAAGUUUGGGGAUAAAAAAUACAUUUUCAGAAUUCAUAUACCUACGUGACACAGUGCCACAAGUCAAGGGCCGCCGGCAUUUAACUUAUAGGAUAAAAUAGGGAUAAAAUCACAAUUAGAAUUCAAAACAGGGCAAGAACACGAUAACCCCUUCCUUUAGUAAUAUAUUCUUUUGAAUAGAAAUUCCAUUAAACGUCUGACACGGCACAAUAGCUGGCCACCAUGAUUUUGACGCCUGCUGGCGCUCCGUCCCAAGUGAGCGAGGUCAGAAUUACAUGGGGACAUAAGAGGUUAGAGCCCAUUGCCGCUAGAGUAUGUGCUACCUUAUUUUACAUUCACGAGGGCAAAAGCUACAGAAAAAAAACUAGAAAAGUUAAGAGUGACAAAAAAAGUUACAUACUAUAUAGCGUUUUAUUUCUACGAUCACUCCACCAGUUCGUGCCAAGCUAAAAUAUGCAUUCUUUUAGAGCCGCUUUCACCAACAAAGAAUCCGUUCCCAGCUCCAACAUGCUGUAUACCCCGCUCACUUGCUGCUUUGAUCCCGGACCAACAGGCAACAGGUUAACAAUUCAGUGGUGCAGACCGGGUCCGGUUUUCUGAAAGGAUGCAUGUGGGCUGGUCAACCCGUGGCAUUGCCCAACUGAACUGGGCCUCCAAGACUAGCGCCGUCUGCAGGCCGGCCUCGUAGUUCAUGGCGGAAUGGCUUCCUGCUUCUUCGGCGCCGUGCCGACGGCGGCUGCCACAACGAGGCCUCUCGAGGAGUAAGGAAUUUUUUUGUUUUCAUAUUUUUUUUUUCGAAUUUGCAGAAAUAAAUAGACGAUCCAAAUUCGCAAAAUGCACCCGUACCGCCGAAUGAAACGAUGAUAGCUACGCUACUGCCAGUUGAAAUGGCGGUUGGAGUGGUGGACCUAGCUACUAGCUACCGCCAUUUGAAUAACCGGCUACCGCCGGUUUAGAUGGCGGUAGCUAGGCACUCCGCUCUAACCGCCGGUUGCGUUGUGUGGAGCCAGCUACAGCCAGUUGAAAUGGCGGCUAUAACUUAGUUUUUUUAUUUUUGUGUAAAUUUUUCUUCGAGAUAAAAAAAUAUCAAGUUACAUUAGAAGCAUUAAAUAUUCGAAUAUGUUACUAUUGGUUGCAAUAUGAAACUUUAUAAUUUGAGAGAGAUAGAGCACUUCAAGGAAAUAAUUGAAAAUGAAUAACAUCCGGCCAUUACAUACAUAGCUGUUUCCAGCGAAAUUACGACAGAAAUUACGACAAAUAGAAACAAAAUUUGUGCACAACAUACGAACACCAACAACUCGAGAGUGAACAAUUAAUUAUAGAUUGCAGGGGCAUAUGCGGCAUGGAUGCUAUCCUAAACAUGAGUCAUUGCUAACCUAACAUGCCUUAGGUAAUUGAAAUAGCCGGGGAUAGAACCAUCUCUACUUUCUAAUAGAACUGGCUUUGCGAGAGCUGAGAGGGUCCAGCCUCAUAGUAGCCAGCACCCCUAGAAGAUGGCGGAGAUUGAGGGUGAUCCUUUUUAUGGUGGUUGGGGCACUUGCACCAUGGAUCAGUACAAAACAUUUGCAAUGAUCCUCAUUCAUAUCAUCUCGUCCGUGCCGGUGUAUAAUAGAAUCGGCACGAACACCAUGGACGGUUUACAUAUGGACUUAGAAAUUCGUAACUUUUACAUACAGACUGGGAUGUACACAAGCUUUAUAAAAAAAUAUAUAUUUCGACAAGAUCUAAAAUUUUGUAGUUGAAAGUUUUCAAUUUGAAGUUGGUUAGAUGCCCAGAAUUAUAACUUUAGCAUGACUUUUGCAUCCCUCAUAAUUAAAAUUUCAAGUUUUAUUUGGAAAUUCGUAACUUCGUGAUAUAGAUUCGCAUAAAGACAAACUUUAUAUGAAAAUUCUAGGUUUGGAUAUGAUCUACAACUUUCUAGUUCAAAGAUUUCAGUUUAAAGUUUUUCAUAUGUCAAAUAAUGUAUAUAAUUUUAGCUUUGUUUCCGCGCUUGUAAUUUGAAUUUCAACUUGUAUUCGGAAAUUCGUAACUUUUGCAUAUGGGUGGAGACAAAUUUUGUAUGGAAUUUCGAUGAAAUAUACAACUUUGCAAUUGAAAGUUUUUUUUAUUUAAAGUCAUUUAGAUGUUCAAAUAAUGAAUCAAAAUAUCAGUCAACAACAAGAUCAAAAGGAAUAAAACUUUCCUUUGUGUACAAGUAUAUGGUAUAGCCGUAUAGGUGGAUAGUAAGGAGUUAUCGCGCGAGGGGGCACGUCAUGAUUAGAAGGCUGGACAUCCCACGUGCGCGAAAUACGCCUAACUUGUGACUUCCAGUUUUUACUAUCUGUGAGUCGUAAAAUAAUUUUUACUAUUUGAAUUUAUAAAUUCAUAUCUUUACUAUCCGUGUGGGUGGGCACAUUGGCACGUAUAAUCCUUCAUUUGUACCAGCUUCGACGGCAGCACAAAUAACUAUCUGCAUUCGUAUCGACUUAGGGAUGCUGUUCCGUCCACCCAUGCGAAUGAGGUUUUUGCAUCAGCACGUAUGAGAUGCUCUGCAAUAGUGGUGCAAAGAAGUUUUAAAAAAAAAACAGAAUUCUCGUAAUUAAAUUGGAUCUUCCGCCAAGCAAAGAGAACCAUAAAUUUGGGAAUGACGAUAGAUAUAAACAGUGAGCACCUGAUGGGGGCUGGAACUUGAAGAUAUCCUGCAACCCUGAGGCGCUUACACAUCAGAUGCCCAGUUCCCGCGCCAAACGAAGCGGAUAUGGUGUUGAGGUGCAGUAGCUUGUGUACACCGCAAGUCCACAAUAUGAAUAAAUGAUGUACUAUGAGCAUCUAGUAGGCUAAAGACGAGAAAUACAGUCUUAACUGAAGUUUGACAAGCAUUUCUGGCCGAAAGAAAGAACUACAGAGUGAAAUUCUCAAGUGACCAUACUUGCAAGGUAUGCUCGUACAUGUUCAAAUUUGAUGUAAAUCUGCAGUUCUGUCCGAACAAAUAAUUUUUUAGCUGUGAACACUGCACAGCAACUCGCGAGAAUUUUUUCCCUCAGCCUUUUUUAUCCGUAGAUUUUGGGAUCACCGAAACGAAACAUCGUGGAAUGUGAGGCCGUGCUUUACAAAGCACUUUCUCGUUCCCAUCGUGCACGCCUAACGUAAAUGGAAUCCCCAUCUGCGACUGUGAGGCCCUGAGAAUUGAGGGCCGAACUGAUGGCGAGCGCCGCCACGAGCGUGAUGGGGUCCAUCAUCUGCAAGCUGACUGCCAUGCUCGGCGAGAAGUACCAGCUCGCCAUAGACGUGAAGAAAGGGAUCCGCUUCCUGAAGGAUGAGCUGAGCACCAUGGAUGUCGUGCUGCAGAAGCUCGCAGACAAGGAAGACGACCAAAUGGAUCCAAUGGCUAAACAUUGGAGGAACAAGGUGCGUGAGCUAUCCUACGAUAUUGAGGAUUGCAUCGACCGCUUCAUGCUCAAUCACAGCCAUGGAGGUUCCAAUGCUAACUUUGUUCGCAAAGCCACGCGUAAGGUGGAGAUGUUGUGGGAGGACCAGGGCAUAGCAACGGAGAUCCAAGAACUCGAGAUACUCGUGAGAGAGCAGAGUAAGCGGGCCAAACGCUACCGCGUCGAUUAUCUCGCCCCCUCACCUCAGCCGAUGCGCUUGGAUCCUCGAGCAACUGCUCUCUUUCAGGAGGCAAGGGAUCCUGUGGGAAUUGAUGGUCCUCGCGAGGAAAUCAUCCAGUUAUUACAAGUUGAAGAAAAUCAACACAAGGUGGUGUCCAUCUAUGGUACCGCUGGGCAGGGGAAGACUACUCUAGCUAUGGAGGUGUGCCGAAAAAUUACAGAAGCAUUUGAUUGCAGGGCUUUCGUGUCUGUAUCUCAGACUCUGGAUAUGAAGAAGCUACUCAGAGAUAUAUUGUCUCAAAUAGUAAGCACGAGCGAGUUUGACCAGUCGGAAAGCUGGGACACGGAGCAGCUCAUACGCAAAAUGAAAGACUACUUAAUUGACAAGAGGUAACCAGAAUUACUUUCUUGUACUAUAAUAAUUAGCCAGUUCAUCUAACUAUGGCAAUGUUGUGGGGUCUUUGUCGAUCACAUGAGCUCACCUAAUUUAUAGGCCAUUUUACGAUUGUUUCCGGAAAUUAUGAAACGAAGAUUCAAAAAUUUUACGGACCCAUUCGAGUAUAAAACUACCACAUAUGCAUUUGUUAUAGCUAAGAGCAACUCCAAAAGCUCUUUUUUAUCAAGGAAUAAAACAGAUGAAGAAUAGAACAGAUACUCCGAUAGCUUCCUCGAACUGUCUGCAUUUUUACGCGGACGCGAAAAAAGCCACCGUUACUCCGCAUAUAUUCGCAAGCCCUCCCCAAUCGGCCUCCCGAGCAAAGCCCCGCAUCCUGCUCCGCUGCUCUGCCUGGGCCUGCUCCGCCCAAGGCCGGCGCUGCACAAGGCGAGCGCAUCUACCUACAGGCUACAAGCCGGUGCUGCUGAUGGCGGCAAAGCAGAUCCACUGCAGCGCAACGCUGCCGAAGCUUGCCUCGCGUGCGGAGGUGGCUUGCGGCGUCGCAAUUGGAAGUGGCUGCGGCAGAAGGAAAAGCGAAGUUGUUUUCUCUCAGUAGCACACAAAUUGAACUCCCACACUGCAAACAAUUGCUAAUUUACCAUUAUUUUUUAAUUCAAUUUUGGGAGCAACUCUAGCGGGAGCAACUCUUCCCUACGGUUGCUUUCCUUGCCUCGCAGAUGCCACUUUGGCCUCGUGGCCGUCUGCCUUGCCGCGCGCCACCGCCCCUCAGCCUCCCGCGGGCGUGUGGGCUUGGGGUUAACUAUUAGCGGUUGAUAUGUUUUUGGGAAAAAAAAUUUAGAAGAACCUCCAAUAUAUAGUUUUGGAAAGAAUUUUUUUAGGAAAUUUUUGAAGUUGCUCUAAAACAAGGUCAAGUCAACUGCCCCCGAAGGUAAGCGUAUGUUGUUGGAGUUGAGCUGUACUGUACUAUAUAAAAUGAUUGUGUGCGAAUGAUAUUUGAGUAAAAAAUUAUUUACUGAGUACCAUCAAAUAAUUCCAGAUUCAGUAAAAUUAUUUCUUGAUAACUGCAACCAUGUUUGUUUCGUAUAGCCAUUCUAAAUAUCAUCCAUAAAAAUCUUCUUUAAAAAUUAAGUAUUCAAAGUGAAUGCUUCUUGUUUUUCAGUGGGCCUCAUGUGGCAGCUACUAUUUUGGAGGUUGUAAACAGAUUCUUUUCCGAUAAUAGAGGAAGUAGUUUCCAGCCUCUAUUCCUAGCACGUGUAAUACGAACUGACAGAAAAAAUGAGCCACCACUAUCCAUCUCUUUACUUUUCUCCAAUAUCUUUCACCAUGAUAUGCUCUAUAUGUUGAAUAGUUAUGGUGGCCUUGUAACAUGAUUCCUCAACCAAUGCAUGCAGGUACUUCAUCUUGAUUGAUGAUAUCUGGAAAGUAUCAGAUUGGGAGCUUGUAGAAUGUACCUUACCUCGCAAUUGCAACGGAAGCAGAAUAAUUACUACAACACGCAGUAAAACAGUAGCCGAAACGUGUGCUCGUAUUGAUGGACAAAUGUACAAAGCAAAGCCACUUGGUGAUGACCAUUCUCGCAGAUUAUUCUUUAAAAGGCUAUUUCGCUCAACUGAACAUUGUCCCCAAGAUUUGAUGGCAGUAUCCAGUGAUAUUUUGACCAAAUGUGGGGGAUUACCAUUAGCCAUAAUCAGUAUAGCUGGUUUAUUAGCAAACAGAAGCAAAACAAAGGAAGUCUGGGUCAAUGCAUUGAAGUAUAUUUCUGCUGCAGUUGACAAAGAUUCUCACAUGGAUGAAAUGAAAAGAAUUUUUCUGCUUAGUUACUUUGACCUUCCUCUUUAUCUAAAGAGCUGUAUGUUAUAUCUGAGCGUGUUCCCGGAGGAUUAUUUGAUUGAUUGUAGACGGUUGAUAUUGUUAUGGGUAGCCGAAGGACUGAUUCCUGGACAAGGCAGAGAAAAUAUGGAGCAGCUUGGGAGGAGUUACUUGAAUGAGCUGAUCAAUAGAAGCUUGGUCCAGCCAACCAAGGUUGGGGCAGAUGGCACAACAGUGAAAGAGUGCAGAGUUCAUGAUGUCAUACUUGAGUUUAUUGUAUCAAAGGCUGUGGAGGAAAAUUUUGUUACUAUAUGGAAUCGUAAUGGGUUUUCUGAAAAUUAUUCUUCUAACAAGAUUCGCCGUUUAUCUAUCCAACAUGACAUUUCUUGGCGGGCUGAAGAGAUGGUCAAGAUAAAAGAACAUGCAGCUCAUAUUCGAUCAAUUAAUACUUUUGGCUCUAAUUCAGUGCUGGUUAAAAACACCUCUAUGUUUUUAAUUAGCCAAGUCUUGCGAGUGCUGAAUAUAGAAGAUUGGGAGAAGUUACGUGAAGAUUGCUAUCUUGGACAUGUCAGAAGUUUUGGUCAAAUGAAGUACUUGAGGUUAGAAAGUAGGUUAUCAGUAUGCCACUGCAAACUCCCAGAAGAUAUAGAAAAGCUGCAACAUCUAGAGAUACUAGAUGUUAGGUGUACCAGCAUUGAAAAACUACCGGCUAGUAUUAUCCAACUGCAGAGAUUAGUGCGUCUUCUUGUCGACUCGCGGACCAAACUACCCGAUGAAAUUGGAAAGCUACAUGCAUUGGAAGAGCUAUCAGUGAUCGGUUUGGGUUCUCAAACUAUAAAGUUUAUCCAAGGACUCCGCGAUCUGACCAAUCUGAAGGUACUUGGAAUUGAUUGGUGGUACACUAAUGCAGUACAUCACACGGACGUGGAAGGCCACAUGAAAGCAUGUAUCUCGUCACUCUUGAAGCUUGUCACAACCCUUCGAGAACUGUAUGUGGAGGAUACUCCUGAUGACACACUUUCAUUCAUGGCUUCGUGUGCCUCUACUCCACCACCCCUUCGGAGGCUCGUCUUUAAAGAAAAUCUUGGACCAAUUGUCGUGCCCCAUCAAAGGCUCAUCUUCAACGAAAAUCAGGAAUUUAUUGUCCUGCCCCAUCAAAUCAUCAGCUCACUAGUCAACCUGACCCGCCUCUGUAUUGGACUAGUAAGCCAGGAAGGGAUAAAUAUCCUAGCAAGUUUGCCCAUGCUCCUCUCUCUUACUGUUCGUGUUUUCUUUGAAGAGGAUGAUUCUGAAUUAUCCGAUGAAGAGGAUGAUUCUGAAUCAUUAUCCGAUGAAGAGGAUGAUUCUGAUUCAUUAACCGAUGAAGUUGAUGAUUCUGAAUCAUUAACCGAUGAAGUUGACGAUUCUGAAUUAUUAUCCGAUGAAGUUGAUGAUUCUAAAAUAUUAUCCCAUGAAGAGGAUGAAGAGGGUGCUUCUGGAAUCUGGUAUACAAUCAGCAGUCAUGGAUUCCAGCGUUUAGUCAAGUUUAAUUUCUACUGUUAUUCUGAGGAGGCGUUGGAGUUUGAGCCAGGAGCCAUGCCAAAGCUCCAAAGGCUCAAGCUGAACCUGGUGGCACGGGGUCAGUUCAAUUAUAAGCAAGGCGGCCUGGUCCGUGGGCUGCAGAAUCUGGCAGACCUCAAACAUGUUGCUCUUAGUAUUAACUGUGAAGAAGCUACUCUUGACGAGGUGCAGGGUUUGGAGGAUGACAUCAGGGUUGCAGCAGGCGUCCAUCCCAACCGUCCCAUGCUCCAGGUCGAAAGAAGUUUUCAAGAUAGUAUGGCUGAAGGGUGCAGCAGGCGCCCACCCGACCAUCCCAUGCUAGAAGCACAAUGACCAAGUAAACGCAUGGUGUGAAGAAUAAAUAUCAUUAUCAAUGAUGAUCUUUUUUUCUGUUUCGAGAGUAUGUUGGAAUUAAACAAGGUUAAUUCGAUGUGUUUUCCUCUUAGUUUUUGCUUUAUUCUCAGAGACUGCACCGCUGAUUCAUAAAUAUCUCAGUCCCUCACAGGGAGCAUAUAUAAACUGCUUGUCCCAAUCGGUACCGUAGCUUUUGUGUUUUUUUUAAUACAAAAGGAUAGUCUAAGAAUCAAUUGACAAGGUUGGGAGGCCAGACAUGCAUCAUUAAUAAUCUUUAUUGCUAAACUUUCACCCAACCAUGGCAAAGAUGUCCAUACUAGCCUCCAUGCAUUGGCAAGCCGAACACAUCAUUUUUCUCAUUUGCUCCUCCUGUAGAACCGACUAAAAAUCUUAAUCUUCAGUGCAAGUUUCAAUUUCUCUGAGAAGUGAUUAACACUCGUAUGUAUAGAAUUAAGUGCAGCCCUGUACAUGGAAUGAACAGAGAAAACCCCACUAUCAUUCGAAGGCCACAAAAAAGUCAUUUCCAUUGUUUAAGAUUUUUUUUGGAAUAGAUUUUUCUUUAAUUUUCCUUCUUCCGUGGAAAAGACAUAAAAAUAUGUACAGCGCAAGAAAAAUCAGAAAGUAAGUUGGGGAUGUAGCGCUCAACUGGUAGAGCGUUAAUCUAUGCAUGAUAAAGGUACAGGGUUCAACUCCUCGGACACGUCGCCGUAGCUGGAGCUCGCUGGCGAGACACUGGAAGCAUACCCGUGAAGGUACAGGCAUGAACCGAUGUCUCAUAGAUCAAUUGUGAGAAGCGGAUGCUUCGAUUUAUUGACCAAUGCAAUUUAUUAUGUUUGGCAUGAUAUUUUAUAAGUUAACUCAACAUAUUGCAAUUUCCCAAAAUAAAAUUCUUGCCGCCAAAUCAAUCUUUGCAAUUCAAGAAUACACAAAGUGUUACUAUCAACACAAGAUGAACACUGCCAGAUUGACUGCUUGUCUAUUUUGAUUCUUGACAUUUAGGGCGAGUAUGCACUUAAAAUUGUUACAGUUAUAAUGAACUUUAUGUGUUACACAUGAUUUUGACAGAUUUUCAAACAUAGCGUUUUAUUCCGAAAAUCACAACACUAGUUGGUGCCGAGCUAAAAUCUGCGCCCUCAAGAGCCGCUUUCACCAACAAAGAAUCCGUUUCCAGCUCCACAUGCUGUAUACCCUGCUCACUCAGUAGAGAUCGCCAAGCCCAUGAGGGCCAACAAUGGCGCAGGAGGCCCAGCAACACAAACAAACAAUGAAGAGACCGGGAUCCUAUAUUACUUCCGGUUGCUAUUUUAUUAAUUAAAACUUAUAAUGUUUGAGAUCCGUGCAACCUCAUCUUAACCGCACAGCAGCUGGGGCGUGGACCAGGCAUGCAUGCAUGCGCUGGCGCAGGUUGACCACCGUGGUUGCCAGUCGGUGGUUUAUCUUUUGGAUUUCAAACUUCAAACUACUUUUUCUCGCAAAUCGUGAAUUCAUUUUCGAAUCCAUUUGUACCACUAUGUUGCUAAGAAUUAAUGUAACAUAAUAAGAUCCAAUAUAAAUAUAUUUAAAAUUAACAUUUUGGAUGAUCCAUGUCAACAUUUUAAGUAUUUUACUUCAACAUUUUCAUAUCAAAUGUUGAACUAGUUUAUUUGAAAUGUUGAACUUAGUUUAAAAUAAUGUUGAAUCUAGUAUUUAAAAUGUUGAGUAUAUUAGUCUGAUAUUUUGAAUAUAUAAAGUCACAAAAUCUUUUGCAAAAAUAAUAAAAUAAGAGUGCACGUUACCUAGCAUGUACCCCUGCGUCCUCUAGCUGCUGCUGUCCUGGGAGACCAAGAUAUGUACUGGGUGCGUGCAAUUGGGGCAAUGAAGUGAUUGCUGGGCUGUGGUGGCUUGAUGGGCUGUGCGAUGGAUUUUCAGCUUUUGUGCAAAAAAAAAAAUUCGAAGAAAAAACUCUGCAGCUUCCAAACCAAGUGUCCAAAUCAAAUUUCGAUUGAACCAUAGCAUUUCUUACGAAGAUCUACAAAAUAAUAUCACACUUGACAAUAUUUUGAAUCAAAUUGUUUCUGAACAUUUUUCGAAUACACCAAUAUUUUAUUUAUGUUGACCCACAUUUUUCUUUUUUGAACAUUUUUUAUUUAUUUUUUACAUGUAGCAACAUUUUUUUACAUUCACUAAUAUUUCUUAACAUUUGUCAACAUUUUCCCUAAAGCCGAGCCUAAGUUUCACAAAUAUUUCUUGAUGUUCAUUAAUAUUUUUUAUAUGCACCAACAUUUUUAUUCAACUUUUUACAUCCACAGCUCACUUUUUUUUACACACACCAACAUUUUUCUUCAACCUUUUUACAUUCACCAACAUUAUAGCUAAUCAUUUGUUUUACACACACCAAUAUUUUUCUUCAACUUUUUUACAUUCGCCAACAUUAUGGCUCAACAUUUUUUAUACACACACCAACUUUUUUUAAAAAAAAUACUAUUUCAACAUUUUUUCUUCCAAUGUAUGCAUGUUUAAGAUAUUACUACAAUAUAGUCAAUAUUUUAGAAGACUAGAUUUAACAUUUAUAUACACACUAGUUCAACAUUUCCAAUAAAGUAAUUCAAGAUUUAAUGCAAAAAUGUUGAAACCAUAUAUUCAAAUUGUUGAGCAUGUAUAUUCAAAUGUUGAAGAGCGUAUUUGAAAUGUUGAUUUUAAAAAAAUCAAAAUAUAUUUAUGUUGGAUCCUGUUUUGUUGCAUAAAUUCUAAAUAGCAUCGUGGUUUAAACGAAAUCUAAAUUGUAUUUACGGUUUGAGAGAAAAAUAAGAUUAAAAUUUUGAAUCUAAAAGGAAUCUUAACCAUCCACCACCAACCACCCAUGACCCAUGCAUGCAGCCAGCCACCCACCUGUCCACAGCUGUAUCCAAACUGCGUGUGUGCUCCCACCCGUUUUAAUCUCAAACAUUGGAAGAUUGGUUGAAAAAUUUCCUCCGGAAGAUGGAUAGGAAUUCCGUGCUGACUCACUGGCUGCUUUGAUCCCAAGCUGCCAGCCCAACGGGCUAACAAUUCAGUGGCGCAGACCGGGUCCGCGUUUUCUGAAAGGAUGCAUGGGGUGGGCAAUCCGUGGCCUUUGCCCAGCUGAACUGGGCCUCCAAGACUAGCGCCGUCUGCAGGCAAGGCCUUCUCCCUUUCUCGUAGUUCGUGGCGGAAUGGCUUCCUGCUUCUUCGGCGCCGUGCCGGCGGCAGCUGCCACAGAGAGGCCUCUCGAGGAGUCGAGGGUCGAAGGCCUCAACCCGUCUGCGGCGCGGCUGCCCUUCAGUCACUGGUGCUAGCCCCUCCCGUAAAUCAGUUCGUAAUUUCUCCGAGUUACAAGAUAUUUUAUUACUUUCUAGGUGAUGAAUUUCGACUGGACACUCCUAGAUCUUAGGGAUUCAGUUUCAACUUUCAACUGUAGGCGUGCAAAUUUUCGCUUCACAUAUUAUCAGUUCGAUUCUAGAUAGAUCUUUGAGGACUCGAGACGGUGUUACAGGGCACAAGAAUGCUUUUUGGGCUGUAUGGCGGCAUGAGCUACAAUUUGCUGACACCCUGUUUAUCUUUCAUCCCCAGGCUCUGUCAUUUGAGCUUGUUGUCCUCUUACUUCAUGUAGGUUUAAGUGGAACGUGCUAGACAGCAAACAAGCUGAUUGUGCAGACAGGAAGGCACCAACUGUCGGCUAUUUCAACGAGUGGUUUAUGGACCUGUAUCAUAGGAUCAUCUUACAGUGCCGCUGAGUUCAGUAUUGCUAGAUGCAUUGUAGACUGCAGAGAUUGCAUCUAAAUGCAAGGGUACAACAUUAAUAAAUUAAACAUUUUUGGCAAUUGCAUUUAAACAACGAAAGGUCCCAAGUCCUUGGAUGGGAAUCAAAAUCUGAAUCAAUGGGGAAAAAUAUACCACAGCUGCGAUGAGGCUGGGCACGCCCUGAUCGCAGAUAAAGUCAGGGUCCAUUAAAAAGGAAAUGCUAAAGCAUGGCAUAACUGCAAUUGUAGUUGCAUUAACAAUGUCAAAGAUCUGAUGACUUAUUUAGUUAUUUGGAAAGGAUUAAACGCCUGACGUUGCUGCGAGCAGAUGUGAAGUGCAUUUCUACUCCUGUGGUACACGUGUGCCACUUCAGAUGCGGAGCUCUUGAACAUACUGCAUCUUCUGCUGCAUCUUUUCGCUAUCCCAAUGACCUCUGAAGUCCUUGUGCAAACUCAGCAGCCACAGUUUCUUAAGAGAACGAAGGGAUUCAAUACCUUGGGGGACCUUGUCGAGCUUUAGAAGUGACACAACAUAUAAACCCUCAAUCUGUUGAAGGGCACCGACUUUGAUCUCCACCUUGUCAACAUUGGGCAUGCGCUUCAAGACAAGCGUCUUCAGCUGUGGGAAGCACCCUUUAGAAAGAACUAAGGUGUCUGCAGUACUCACCCUGUUAAGACUAAGAUAGGUGAGAUUCGGCACGUAAGGUGCAAGCAGCUGCAGUGGAUCUUCCUGAAGGUGGCACCAGCUAAUAGCUAGAUAUUUGAGAUUUCUGCCACUGUCACGGAAUACAGGGCACUCAAGUGUCUUAUCUGCCCAGCACCCUCUGAUUAUCAAUCUGUGGAAGUUUUCAGAUGCUGGCUUCAGAUCUUCCAAAUGAAGUGUCUCGUUCUCAUCACUUGCAGAGAGAAGCAAGCUGGAAAGAAGAGGCAUCUUUGACAGUAUAGAGAAAAGGUUUGCGCAAUCCGCUGCACUUAUGUUGUCAAUCCACACACUCCUUAGUUUCGUAAGUUUUAUCAGCUGCUCAGCCAGGUCCUUGUUGGCUUCCACAGUUUCUAGAGUCUGAAGUUCUUCCAAGUUGGAUAGCUCUUUUGGUGCUUGCACUCCAAUGAAGUACCGGAACUCUGACUGCUUCUCAUCUGCAAAUCUGUCUGCCAGAAGGUGCCGUAACUUCUUGAUUUUAACAACACCUCUUGGUAGCUUCUCUAUUUUUGUUGCCUUUAUGUCCAGUGUUUGGAGGUUGGAGAGCUUUCCAAUCGAAUCUGGGAGUGAUUUAACUCUUGUGCGACGCAGACCAAUGUAGCGUAGAUUAAACAUAUUUCCUAUGGAUGCUGGCACUUCACUUAUUUCAGAAUCUUGCAACUCUAGAACUGUCAGGUACGUGGAUUCAGAAAGAACUGAAGAUAACAACUGAGGGGAGGAUCCAAUUAUUCCGAGUGCAACUGCGGUUCUAAGGCGUGGCAGUUGAAUUUUAACUUUCAGUGAAGUUUUGUCCUGCCAUCCACAGGAAGACAGGCGACGAACACCCUUGUCCAUCUUCACCAAUGUGCCAAAAUCAUACGCAAAACCAAACUUCUCCUCUUUAGCAACAGAAAGUGCCAGGUCACGCACAAGGUCAUGCAUCUUACAGGUGUGGACCCUUCCUAGCUCAUCGUUCUCAACAGCUUCCAGCAUAUUCCUUUGGAUCAGUUCCCUUAGGUAUCUGUCGGCCACCUCCUCUGGUGUGCUUUGUUCAUUUUGAAGCGCAAAACCUUCUGCAACCCAUAGCCAAACAAGGCUCUCUCGUGACAUUAGGUGAUCCUCAGGGAACAAGCUACAAUAAAAGAAGCAGUUUCUAAGAUUUCCAGGUAAGUCGUGGUAGCUCAGAUUUAGAAUUGCACGAACAUGAUCAUUGUUCGUCAGCUCAUCCUGAAAUUGCUUGUAUGUUUCGUUCCAAACUUGUUUAAUUGGUGGCAGUGCAGACAACAGGCCACCCAUGGUUACGAUUGCAAGUGGAAGUCCUUGACACCUAUCCACUAUAUUGUUGGCCAGCUUCUCAAGUUCAUCGGGGCAGCUGCAAUUUAUGCUGUUAUAGAAAGCCUUUCUGCAAAACAGCACAAGUGCAUCACCGUGAUCCAAUGGCUUGAGUUUGAGUUGACAGGUGGGGUGAGCAAGGACUGCCACCUGUUCCUGUCGCGUCGUGAUGAUAACACAACUUGCUUGGAGGUUCUGGAAUGCAUCCCUUAUCUGAGUGUAUGCUUCUUGAUUCCAUACAUCAUCCAGUACAAUCAAGCACUUCCUACCAGCUAGUCUUUCCUUUACUUUUUCUUUCAAGUCAUGGGCAUCCAAAUCCACUAGCUGUGACUGUUCUGGCUCCCCAAUCUUCCUCAGCAGUUUCCUCAGCAAUUCAACCACAUCAUAAUUCUGAGAUACAACGAUCCAAGCAUGAGUGGUGAAAUUGUUCUUCUCCCGCUCGUACACAUUUGUGACAAGGGUGGUUUUUCCCAAUCCACCCAUACCAGAUACUGUUAUUAAUCUGGUAAUUUGCUCGUCUGAGUUCAACCAUCCAGUCAGCAGUCUCCUGUUUUCUUCAAUUCCCACAAGAUCAUCUUGAAUAACAUCCAGGAGGCAGUCCUGCGACCGCUUCCUUUCAAUAUCAGCAAGUAAAUUGGGACUGAGCUGGGACUGAGGUAGCCACCGUUCUUUUCGCUUCACAACAUUUUCGAUUUUCUUCUCUAUCUUGGUAAUCUCCUCAGCGAUUUGACUGAAAACUGUGAUGUAGUGAGCUUUGGUGAAGAUCUUUUUCACCCUAUUUUCUUCCUCCAAUUUAAGAGCAUGGUAUGAAUAUUUGUCAAUGACAUCCUCAACAUGGUGGGCUAGCUCUCGCACCUCUGCAAUCCAACCCUUCACAAGCUCAUUGAUGAGGCUUGGAGUACCUAUCUGUUUUAUUAAAUUGUCCAUCAUGUUUAGUUCUUUCCCUAUUUCCUCAACCUUCCUUGGUAGUUCCUUAAGAUUUGCAACUUUCUCUGAUAGCUUGUUUACAACGGUCUUCGUGGCUUCCUCCGUUAAAAUGUUUCCAAUCUUUGAAACAACAAGGAGUACAGCUUCUGCCAUUUGUUCUGAACAUCAUAAAUGCAGAUCAUGUUACAUAAUGCAGUAAAUAGAUUUAAAAAUAACAAAAUAUAAUGCUGUUUCAUGAUCAUAAUGGCUGAUUCUUGGAAUCAGAAGAAACAAAAACAAGACAGGAAGAGUUCAGUUUAUAAAGAAUUGAACUUUACAAUUUCAGUCAAUUUCCAUGUAACAAUGAAACUAAUACUGAAUGUGCGCUGAAAAUUUCAAUCCCAAAAUUUGACGGUAAAAUAAUUUUAGUUCAGUAAACUAAAGUAUAUACUCUAGAUUUUACAUUUAUAUUCACUUUUCAAAUAUUUGUUACAUUUCAUAGUUCAAAAACUAAAACAUUUCAUUGAGCAUUAAUCCAGAAGAAGCAUAGCUGAAUGAAAUUAUGAGCAUGACCUACACUGUAUGAGAUAUCAGAUAUUAUUUCUUUGUAAAGCAUCUAGUAAACUUGUUUGUUGUUCAUCAAGGAAUUCUUUCAAGUUGUUUAUUAUGCACUUCUUAUGAUCCCAGAUGUUCUGAAGUUUCCAUUUCUUAAUUGUUUAGGUAGUUAGGCCUAGUGCUCAGUGUGUUCAACAUUCUAGCUCCAGAACUUCAUGCUGCUAUAAUCGAUAUAUCCUCGCUUCAUUGAGUCCUUGUGACUUUUGGAUCUCUAGGUGGAGAAUUGCAGUCUGCUUGCAGAGUUUCAUGAUGAAUUUUCAAGUUGUGCGGGACAUACAUGCCUAAAUUUAUUUCUAUGGAAUAGUUUCUGAAUCCAUCAUGCAUCGAGGGGUUCUUACUGAUGACACGGCAUUUGCAAGGUUUAUAUUCAAAAGUGCUGCGGGCAUAAUGCAAGAUGGAGCUUUUAAUUUAUUAAGCUUUUGCGGCAAUGUCUGUGGCACUGCCACGGAGAUGGCCUUUAAGGUUUAAUAGUUGAUUUGCCCCUGCCUUUAGGACAGAUAUUGCAGAGCGGCAUGUUGGAAUUUCUAAGGCUGCAGAACAGUUUGCUGUUCUUUGUGUGGUAAAAACUGCAAUAUGUGUAAAUGCUUGUGCCUCUUAGAACUUGGGACAUUUUUUUACACUAGGACGUAUUCAGAUGCAUCCGCAGGAACAGACAAUGUUCCCAUCCAGAGGAGCUGUACUAUAGUGUUUCGGCAAGUCUGUUGUGGUGGCUUCUGGAAUUCAUGGGCUUGUACAAGCUUGUUUGUAGCGUCCUAGUUGACCUGUUAUUAGCUCUUCAUUUUUUAGUAUUUCCUUCUGCUAGUCUUUUGUAAUCCUUAUAAUGAUGCAUGUACUUCCUCCGCCUCACGAAGAAUGCAAUUAAAGGACUCGAAAUUGGUCCAACAUAGAACGCAAUUGUUGCUUUUACAUCAGCUUAUGGGACCCACUUAAUUGUGCUCUUUACUUUAAACUUCUCGAUUCACAAUUAAUUGUAGUAGGUUACAGAAACAUCGUAUUGUGACACCCGAUCUAAUUUAGUGGUCCAGUAGUGGCCUAUUAGCGUUAUAUGCGCAUGUGUUAGUACCACAUUGCAAAGGUUUAUAAGUUAGCUCUAUGCCUCUACCCUUGCUCAACUACCAACAUGGUACUAAACAUACGCACGUACAACACUCAUGAGCCACUACUCGACCACCAAAUUGGAUCGGGUAUCACAUGCCUCCCAAAAAAAAGAAUCUGACUUUGGAGGACGACAUGUUGCACAUCUACAUAUGCAUGUGAUCCUUUCCUAAUAGGGCUACCAAAGUCAUUUUCCUUCUUAAGAUUCCUAGAAUUCCAUUGUUUAUGGGAACUAGGAAGUGUGGCUACGAAGAAGAAGGGCCUAUAAUGCCGUACACCAACCUUGGAAACGGGGGAUGUUCCUAGAAGUAUGAUACUGUUUGCAAUAAGUGGAUUUUGUCUUGAUUAAAUCGUAUAUCCAUGGUAAAUAAUCAUAUCACACCAACUCCACAGGCAUAGAACCAUAUGAACGAAGCUGCAAACAGUUGGGAGCGAGAGUUCACCUGAUGGGUACUGAGACUAGUAGAUGGCCUGCAAACUGGACGCUGCAAGUCAGAUUUCCAGUUCCAACUGUUUGGUCUCAAACCUGCCAAAAAAGAAGAUGUUUUAGCCAUGUAUAUUGUAUACUGCAAGUGGAAUAUGUUCAAACACUAUUAGAGAAUUGAGCUUUAGUCCCAGUUGGUAGGGUUCAAAGGUCCCGAAAAUCCAUCCGGGAUUAAUUUUUUGAGACAAGGGGGUCCUUUAGUUUCAGAAAAAAAAAUAAAAAAAGGCCACGUGGCCGGCCGGCCGCCACCCGCCUCGGCUCGUGCCCACACCCCCACCCGCCCGCCGCUCCGCGCCUGUGCCUCCGCUUGCCCGCCGCUUGGCCGCCCGCGCCGCCCGCUGCUUGGCCUCCCGCGCCUCCGCUCGUUGCUGGGCCGCCCGCGCCCGCACCGCGCGCCGCCUCCGCUCGUCGCUCGGCCGCUCCCCCGCGCGCCAGCCCUGCCCUCGCCCCGCUACCACUCCUCACUCCAUUUCUUAAUUGUUUAGGUAGUUAGGCCUAGUGCUCAGUGUGCUCAACAUUCUAGCUCCAGAACUUCAUGCUGCUAUAAUCGAUAUAUCCUCGCUUCAUUGAGUCCUUGUGACUUUUGGAUCUCUAGGUGGAGAAUUGCAGUCUGCUUGCAGAGUUUCAUGAUGAAUUUUCAAGUUGUGCGGGACAUACAUGCCUAAAUUUAUUUCUAUGGAAUAGUUUCUGAAUCCAUCAUGCAUCGAGGGGUUCUUACUGAUGACACGGCAUUUGCAAGGUUUAUAUUCAAAAGUGCUGCGGGCAUAAUGCAAGAUGGAGCUUUUAAUUUAUUAAGCUUUUGCGGCAAUGUCUGUGGCACUGCCACGGAGAUGGCCUUUAAGGUUUAAUAGUUGAUUUGCCCCUGCCUUUAGGACAGAUAUUGCAGAGCGGCAUGUUGGAAUUUCUAAGGCUGCAGAACAGUUUGCUGUUCUUUGUGUGGUAAAAACUGCAAUAUGUGUAAAUGCUUGUGCCUCUUAGAACUUGGGACAUUUUUUUACACUAGGACGUAUUCAGAUGCAUCCGCAGGAACAGACAAUGUUCCCAUCCAGAGGAGCUGUACUAUAGUGUUUCGGCAAGUCUGUUGUGGUGGCUUCUGGAAUUCAUGGGCUUGUACAAGCUUGUUUGUAGCGUCCUAGUUGACCUGUUAUUAGCUCUUCAUUUUUUAGUAUUUCCUUCUGCUAGUCUUUUGUAAUCCUUAUAAUGAUGCAUGUACUUCCUCCGCCUCACGAAGAAUGCAAUUAAAGGACUCGAAAUUGGUCCAACAUAGAACGCAAUUGUUGCUUUUACAUCAGCUUAUGGGACCCACUUAAUUGUGCUCUUUACUUUAAACUUCUCGAUUCACAAUUAAUUGUAGUAGGUUACAGAAACAUCGUAUUGUGACACCCGAUCUAAUUUAGUGGUCCAGUAGUGGCCUAUUAGCGUUAUAUGCGCAUGUGUUAGUACCACAUUGCAAAGGUUUAUAAGUUAGCUCUAUGCCUCUACCCUUGCUCAACUACCAACAUGGUACUAAACAUACGCACGUACAACACUCAUGAGCCACUACUCGACCACCAAAUUGGAUCGGGUAUCACAUGCCUCCCAAAAAAAAGAAUCUGACUUUGGAGGACGACAUGUUGCACAUCUACAUAUGCAUGUGAUCCUUUCCUAAUAGGGCUACCAAAGUCAUUUUCCUUCUUAAGAUUCCUAGAAUUCCAUUGUUUAUGGGAACUAGGAAGUGUGGCUACGAAGAAGAAGGGCCUAUAAUGCCGUACACCAACCUUGGAAACGGGGGAUGUUCCUAGAAGUAUGAUACUGUUUGCAAUAAGUGGAUUUUGUCUUGAUUAAAUCGUAUAUCCAUGGUAAAUAAUCAUAUCACACCAACUCCACAGGCAUAGAACCAUAUGAACGAAGCUGCAAACAGUUGGGAGCGAGAGUUCACCUGAUGGGUACUGAGACUAGUAGAUGGCCUGCAAACUGGACGCUGCAAGUCAGAUUUCCAGUUCCAACUGUUUGGUCUCAAACCUGCCAAAAAAGAAGAUGUUUUAGCCAUGUAUAUUGUAUACUGCAAGUGGAAUAUGUUCAAACACUAUUAGAGAAUUGAGCUUUAGUCCCAGUUGGUAGGGUUCAAAGGUCCCGAAAAUCCAUCCGGGAUUAAUUUUUUGAGACAAGGGGGUCCUUUAGUUUCAGAAAAAAAAAUAAAAAAAGGCCACGUGGCCGGCCGGCCGCCACCCGCCUCGGCUCGUGCCCACACCCCCACCCGCCCGCCGCUCCGCGCCUGUGCCUCCGCUUGCCCGCCGCUUGGCCGCCCGCGCCGCCCGCUGCUUGGCCUCCCGCGCCUCCGCUCGUUGCUGGGCCGCCCGCGCCCGCACCGCGCGCCGCCUCCGCUCGUCGCUCGGCCGCUCCCCCGCGCGCCAGCCCUGCCCUCGCCCCGCUACCACUCCUCACUCCAUUUCUUAAUUGUUUAGGUAGUUAGGCCUAGUGCUCAGUGUGCUCAACAUUCUAGCUCCAGAACUUCAUGCUGCUAUAAUCGAUAUAUCCUCGCUUCAUUGAGUCCUUGUGACUUUUGGAUCUCUAGGUGGAGAAUUGCAGUCUGCUUGCAGAGUUUCAUGAUGAAUUUUCAAGUUGUGCGGGACAUACAUGCCUAAAUUUAUUUCUAUGGAAUAGUUUCUGAAUCCAUCAUGCAUCGAGGGGUUCUUACUGAUGACACGGCAUUUGCAAGGUUUAUAUUCAAAAGUGCUGCGGGCAUAAUGCAAGAUGGAGCUUUUAAUUUAUUAAGCUUUUGCGGCAAUGUCUGUGGCACUGCCACGGAGAUGGCCUUUAAGGUUUAAUAGUUGAUUUGCCCCUGCCUUUAGGACAGAUAUUGCAGAGCGGCAUGUUGGAAUUUCUAAGGCUGCAGAACAGUUUGCUGUUCUUUGUGUGGUAAAAACUGCAAUAUGUGUAAAUGCUUGUGCCUCUUAGAACUUGGGACAUUUUUUUACACUAGGACGUAUUCAGAUGCAUCCGCAGGAACAGACAAUGUUCCCAUCCAGAGGAGCUGUACUAUAGUGUUUCGGCAAGUCUGUUGUGGUGGCUUCUGGAAUUCAUGGGCUUGUACAAGCUUGUUUGUAGCGUCCUAGUUGACCUGUUAUUAGCUCUUCAUUUUUUAGUAUUUCCUUCUGCUAGUCUUUUGUAAUCCUUAUAAUGAUGCAUGUACUUCCUCCGCCUCACGAAGAAUGCAAUUAAAGGACUCGAAAUUGGUCCAACAUAGAACGCAAUUGUUGCUUUUACAUCAGCUUAUGGGACCCACUUAAUUGUGCUCUUUACUUUAAACUUCUCGAUUCACAAUUAAUUGUAGUAGGUUACAGAAACAUCGUAUUGUGACACCCGAUCUAAUUUAGUGGUCCAGUAGUGGCCUAUUAGCGUUAUAUGCGCAUGUGUUAGUACCACAUUGCAAAGGUUUAUAAGUUAGCUCUAUGCCUCUACCCUUGCUCAACUACCAACAUGGUACUAAACAUACGCACGUACAACACUCAUGAGCCACUACUCGACCACCAAAUUGGAUCGGGUAUCACAUGCCUCCCAAAAAAAAGAAUCUGACUUUGGAGGACGACAUGUUGCACAUCUACAUAUGCAUGUGAUCCUUUCCUAAUAGGGCUACCAAAGUCAUUUUCCUUCUUAAGAUUCCUAGAAUUCCAUUGUUUAUGGGAACUAGGAAGUGUGGCUACGAAGAAGAAGGGCCUAUAAUGCCGUACACCAACCUUGGAAACGGGGGAUGUUCCUAGAAGUAUGAUACUGUUUGCAAUAAGUGGAUUUUGUCUUGAUUAAAUCGUAUAUCCAUGGUAAAUAAUCAUAUCACACCAACUCCACAGGCAUAGAACCAUAUGAACGAAGCUGCAAACAGUUGGGAGCGAGAGUUCACCUGAUGGGUACUGAGACUAGUAGAUGGCCUGCAAACUGGACGCUGCAAGUCAGAUUUCCAGUUCCAACUGUUUGGUCUCAAACCUGCCAAAAAAGAAGAUGUUUUAGCCAUGUAUAUUGUAUACUGCAAGUGGAAUAUGUUCAAACACUAUUAGAGAAUUGAGCUUUAGUCCCAGUUGGUAGGGUUCAAAGGUCCCGAAAAUCCAUCCGGGAUUAAUUUUUUGAGACAAGGGGGUCCUUUAGUUUCAGAAAAAAAAAUAAAAAAAGGCCACGUGGCCGGCCGGCCGCCACCCGCCUCGGCUCGUGCCCACACCCCCACCCGCCCGCCGCUCCGCGCCUGUGCCUCCGCUUGCCCGCCGCUUGGCCGCCCGCGCCGCCCGCUGCUUGGCCUCCCGCGCCUCCGCUCGUUGCUGGGCCGCCCGCGCCCGCACCGCGCGCCGCCUCCGCUCGUCGCUCGGCCGCUCCCCCGCGCGCCAGCCCUGCCCUCGCCCCGCUACCACUCCUCACUCCAUUUCUUAAUUGUUUAGGUAGUUAGGCCUAGUGCUCAGUGUGCUCAACAUUCUAGCUCCAGAACUUCAUGCUGCUAUAAUCGAUAUAUCCUCGCUUCAUUGAGUCCUUGUGACUUUUGGAUCUCUAGGUGGAGAAUUGCAGUCUGCUUGCAGAGUUUCAUGAUGAAUUUUCAAGUUGUGCGGGACAUACAUGCCUAAAUUUAUUUCUAUGGAAUAGUUUCUGAAUCCAUCAUGCAUCGAGGGGUUCUUACUGAUGACACGGCAUUUGCAAGGUUUAUAUUCAAAAGUGCUGCGGGCAUAAUGCAAGAUGGAGCUUUUAAUUUAUUAAGCUUUUGCGGCAAUGUCUGUGGCACUGCCACGGAGAUGGCCUUUAAGGUUUAAUAGUUGAUUUGCCCCUGCCUUUAGGACAGAUAUUGCAGAGCGGCAUGUUGGAAUUUCUAAGGCUGCAGAACAGUUUGCUGUUCUUUGUGUGGUAAAAACUGCAAUAUGUGUAAAUGCUUGUGCCUCUUAGAACUUGGGACAUUUUUUUACACUAGGACGUAUUCAGAUGCAUCCGCAGGAACAGACAAUGUUCCCAUCCAGAGGAGCUGUACUAUAGUGUUUCGGCAAGUCUGUUGUGGUGGCUUCUGGAAUUCAUGGGCUUGUACAAGCUUGUUUGUAGCGUCCUAGUUGACCUGUUAUUAGCUCUUCAUUUUUUAGUAUUUCCUUCUGCUAGUCUUUUGUAAUCCUUAUAAUGAUGCAUGUACUUCCUCCGCCUCACGAAGAAUGCAAUUAAAGGACUCGAAAUUGGUCCAACAUAGAACGCAAUUGUUGCUUUUACAUCAGCUUAUGGGACCCACUUAAUUGUGCUCUUUACUUUAAACUUCUCGAUUCACAAUUAAUUGUAGUAGGUUACAGAAACAUCGUAUUGUGACACCCGAUCUAAUUUAGUGGUCCAGUAGUGGCCUAUUAGCGUUAUAUGCGCAUGUGUUAGUACCACAUUGCAAAGGUUUAUAAGUUAGCUCUAUGCCUCUACCCUUGCUCAACUACCAACAUGGUACUAAACAUACGCACGUACAACACUCAUGAGCCACUACUCGACCACCAAAUUGGAUCGGGUAUCACAUGCCUCCCAAAAAAAAGAAUCUGACUUUGGAGGACGACAUGUUGCACAUCUACAUAUGCAUGUGAUCCUUUCCUAAUAGGGCUACCAAAGUCAUUUUCCUUCUUAAGAUUCCUAGAAUUCCAUUGUUUAUGGGAACUAGGAAGUGUGGCUACGAAGAAGAAGGGCCUAUAAUGCCGUACACCAACCUUGGAAACGGGGGAUGUUCCUAGAAGUAUGAUACUGUUUGCAAUAAGUGGAUUUUGUCUUGAUUAAAUCGUAUAUCCAUGGUAAAUAAUCAUAUCACACCAACUCCACAGGCAUAGAACCAUAUGAACGAAGCUGCAAACAGUUGGGAGCGAGAGUUCACCUGAUGGGUACUGAGACUAGUAGAUGGCCUGCAAACUGGACGCUGCAAGUCAGAUUUCCAGUUCCAACUGUUUGGUCUCAAACCUGCCAAAAAAGAAGAUGUUUUAGCCAUGUAUAUUGUAUACUGCAAGUGGAAUAUGUUCAAACACUAUUAGAGAAUUGAGCUUUAGUCCCAGUUGGUAGGGUUCAAAGGUCCCGAAAAUCCAUCCGGGAUUAAUUUUUUGAGACAAGGGGGUCCUUUAGUUUCAGAAAAAAAAAUAAAAAAAGGCCACGUGGCCGGCCGGCCGCCACCCGCCUCGGCUCGUGCCCACACCCCCACCCGCCCGCCGCUCCGCGCCUGUGCCUCCGCUUGCCCGCCGCUUGGCCGCCCGCGCCGCCCGCUGCUUGGCCUCCCGCGCCUCCGCUCGUUGCUGGGCCGCCCGCGCCCGCACCGCGCGCCGCCUCCGCUCGUCGCUCGGCCGCUCCCCCGCGCGCCAGCCCUGCCCUCGCCCCGCUACCACUCCUCACUCCAUUUCUUAAUUGUUUAGGUAGUUAGGCCUAGUGCUCAGUGUGCUCAACAUUCUAGCUCCAGAACUUCAUGCUGCUAUAAUCGAUAUAUCCUCGCUUCAUUGAGUCCUUGUGACUUUUGGAUCUCUAGGUGGAGAAUUGCAGUCUGCUUGCAGAGUUUCAUGAUGAAUUUUCAAGUUGUGCGGGACAUACAUGCCUAAAUUUAUUUCUAUGGAAUAGUUUCUGAAUCCAUCAUGCAUCGAGGGGUUCUUACUGAUGACACGGCAUUUGCAAGGUUUAUAUUCAAAAGUGCUGCGGGCAUAAUGCAAGAUGGAGCUUUUAAUUUAUUAAGCUUUUGCGGCAUGUGGCACUGGCACGCAGAUGGCCUUUAAGGUUUAAUAGUUGAUUUGCCCCUGCCUUUAGGACAGAUAUUGGAGAGCGGCAUGUUGGAAUUUCUAAGGCUGCAGAACAGUUUGCUGUUCUUUGUGUGGUAAAAACUGCAAUAUGUGUAAAUGCUUGUGGCUCUUAGAACUUGGGGCAUUUUUUUACACUAGGACGUAUUCAGAUGCAUUCGCAGGAACAGACAAUGUUCCAAUCCAGAGGAGCUGUACUAUAGUGUUUCGGCAAGUCUGUUGUGGUGGCUUCUUGAAUUCAUGGGCUUGUACAAGCUUGUUUGUAGCAUCCAAGUUGACCUGUUAUUAGCUCUUCAUUUUUUAGUAUUUCCUUCUGCUUUUACAUCAGCUUAUGGGACCUAAUUAAUUGUGCUCUUUACUUUAAACUUCUCCAUUCACAAUUAAUUGUAUUAGGUUACAGAAACAUCAUAUUGUGACACCCGAUCUAAUUUAGUGGUGUAGUAGUGGUCCAUUAGCGUUAUAUGCGCAUGUGUUAAUACCACAUUGCAAAGGUUUAUAAGUUAGCUCUACGCCUCUAUCCUUGCUCAACUACCAACGUGGUACUAAACAUAUGCACAUACAACACUCAUGAGCUACUACUCGACCACCAAAUUGGAUCGGGUAUCACAUGCCUCAAAAAAAAAGAAUCUAGCUUUGGAGGAUGAGAUGUUACGCAUCUACAUAUGCAUGUGAUCCUUUCCUAGUAGGGCUACCAAAGUCAUUUUCCUUCGUCAUUAGUCCAUCUUAAGAUUCCUAGAAUUCCAUUGUUUAUGGGAACUAGGAAGUGUGGCUAUGAGGAAGAAGGGCCUGUAAUGCCGUACACCAACAUUGGAAACGGGGAAUGUUCCAAGAAGUAUGAUACUGUUUGCAAUAAGUGGAUUUUGUCCUGAUUAAAUCGUAUAUCCAUGGUAAAUAAUCAUAUCACACUCAACUCCACGGGCAUAGAACCAUAUGAAUGAAGCUGCAAACAGUUGGGAGCGAGAGUUCACCUGAUGGGUACUGAGACUAGUAGAUGGCCUGCAAACUGGACGCUGCAAGUCAGGUUUCCAGUUCCAACUGUUUGGUCUCAAACCUGCCAAAAAAAAAGAUGUUUUAGCCAUGUAUAUUGUAUACUGCAAGUGGAAUAUGUUCGAACACUACUAGAGAAUUGAGCUUUAGUCCUAGUUGGUAGGGUUCAAAGGUCCCGAAAAUUCAUCCGGAAUUAAUUUUUCGAGACAAAGGAGGUCCUUUAGUUUCGGGAAAAAAAUAAAAAAAGGCCACAUGGCCGGCCGCCUGCGCUCGCGCCACCCACCGCCUGCCUCGGCUCGUGCCCACACCUCCACCCGCCCGCCGCUUGGCCUCCCACGCCUCCGCUCGUCGCUCGGCCGCUCCCCCGCGCGCCAGCCCUGCCCUCUUCCCGCUGCCGCUCUUCACUCCCAGUGAGGGGUGAGUAGAGGGGGAAGGGGAGGGGUAGCAGAGGGGGAGGGGGCGGCGGCGACGCAAGGAGAGGAGGUGGCGGCAGAGAGGAGGAAGGGGAGGUGCCGGAGGUGGAGGGAGAGGAGGAGAGGGAGAAGAUAAGAUUGAGCAGAGCAUUUUGUCGCAGCCGGAGCCACCAACCGAGAUAAAAGCCCCUUUUAUGCCGGUCAGUAAUUUCAACUGGGAUUUAACAAAAGCCUACUUUUAUUCCGGUCAGUAAUUUCAACUGGGAUUAAAUCUUUUGUCCUAGUUGAAAUUUCCAAACGGGAUAAGGGGUUUUUGUCGCGGUUAGAAAUUCCAACACGGACAAAAGGGGGACGUUUAUUUACAACCGGGACUAAAGCUCUUCUCGUCGAUAUCUUUUCUGUGUCUUAUUUUUAACCCGGAACUAAAGGUAGUCCUAGAUCCAAAGUUAGCCGGGAUAAAAAGAGUUAGAUAGAAGGUCAAUUCUUUAAUAAUAAAAGCGAUACCGAGAGCAUACUUGUAAGAUUGAAAACAAAACUGUGGUUAAAUCAGAUCUAGACAAGCACUUUUUUGUGCCAAAAGAAAUCAUUCGCCAAACAGGAAGGAGCUUGCCAACUGCGAAACAUGCAAGGUAUGCUGAUCUACCUUCGAAUCUGGUGUUAAUUGCGAAGGAAAAGAAAAAAAAGAAGAAAACUGUUGCAAACAAGGAGUGAUUUACUCGCAACACACACAAACACCACUGAAAGAUUCGUUCUAUCCAAGCCUCUUUGAGAGCAAAAGAACUCUGAACUAGCAUGCGAACUGAAUGGUUGAUCAGAACAGCGAAGUAAUCAGACCUCGAGAGAGCCCCAGGGGAGCUGGUUGCCUUUGGUUAACCGGCCGAUCCGUCGAAGCGCGGCAGCUGUGUAUUGUGUUUGAGCUGGUUAUAGGCGUGUAGGCUUGUAGCUAAGGCUGAAGUACUCGCGGUGGAGUUCGGUGGUAGAGAAGACCACUGGGACUUGCUGGUUCAGAUAUGAAGUUCUGCCUUCACCAGUGGUUCAGAUAUGUUGUUGGUCGAGAAGACCCAGUGUCAUCUCGCACAUGCGCAAAGACUUGGCCAAGUCCACGCGUUCACUGUUUGGGAGCUACCCCAUGGGAACCGGGUCCAGUGCGGCACGUUCUGAGUCCUUUCUUCCCCCUGAACUUUGCCUUGUCCAAUUCAGUUGCCAACUUGUCCUUGGCCCCACCAACCAUGUGCCCAGAAAUUUACCUUUGCAUCAUUGGUCACGUCACAGUUCAUGGUACAGUGCACGGUCAGUAAGCAACACUUGAACUGUCACUAAUACCAACUGACAAAGCAAAAAAGGAAAUCUUUUUCUUGAAAAAAAUGACAAAAAAAGGAGGAAAGCAAUAUGAACCAAGAAAUAGUAAUAGGCCGCAUCAAAAUGAUUCGUUUCAAACAACACACGGAGACCUUGCAGAAACCCACAUGCUCAAGGCACCACGAGAUGUGAUGGGCAUAAGUUUACAUAAACGAGAUUUUUUUUUUUGUCUAAUUUUAGGUGGCAACCGGGUAAAUAUGCUAAGUCUCCUUAGUCAAUGCCCACCUAUUUCCAACUCGGAAAAAGCUGUCCAAAGGAACGAAGAUUUUCUCCUUUUUUUCCCUCUUGUUGAAUAAUCCAACACACGGAGACCUGCACAAGCAGGCCGUCAACCGUCUUUCUCUCCCCUGUCGCUGUCCUCGCCGGAAGAGGAGGAGAGAAGCACACCGGAGAUCUGCCAUGGCCGCCGCCGCUGCCGUCGAUACUCCUGGUACGUACGUGCUGCACAGACUUGACCAUCGAUCCCCCUGCCCAUCUCUCAGGGCAAAAAAUCUCCAAAAGAAGUUCUUUACAAAGUUUUUCUUUCCUUAUAUCUUCACCGGAUCUACUGCUUACCUUGCUCACAAAUCGUAGUAAAACUCUGAAUCCCUCUGUGUUUCUUUCUGUGGUCUCCAAGCACAGGCUACUUCGUUGGCGCUCCAUCGCACUACCAGAAGCCGCAACCGCGCCCGCCGCCGGUGCCGGCGCAGGCCGUCGACGAGCAGAACGCUAUGAACACACAAGUCCCAGGUGCGUCCUUGCAGUUCUUGCUUGAACGACUGCGACUUCUUGCAUCCUGCCCUGAUUUCACUUAAUUUUUCUCUUUCCUUUUUCCAUCAAAUUUCCUGUUAAUUGUUAACGGAACUCGAUUGGAUUUUUGUUUUUCUUCUUUUUUUGGUGGCACGAGCAGGUUACUACUCUGGGCCUGUGCAAGGGAGGCGAGAACCUGCUGCAGAGCACAACAACCCUGCUGACACUGCGGUUCAACAGAGCCAAGAACAAGGCUUUCUUGCAAGAUGGUAAAUGGUUUGAUGCUUUGAUUGUUGUAGGGACUAUUUGGACAUCAAAUCGAUCUGUUUCUAUGCCUGGUCUGAUGGUUCUCCGUUUGCUGUUAUCAGGUUUGGAUGCUUCACCGGCAGAAGUGGAAAUGCGAACUAAACCCAGGACAUCCCUGCUCGGAGCUCAGUAGAGGACCAGGCAUCUGGAUGGGUUGCAGGAACCUUUCAGAUUCUCGGUUCUAUGAAACUUGUUCUUCGGCAUUUCCGUUGUAAUAUUGGACCAUAUUACAGGCUCAAUGAGGUUGUUCCUUGUGUUACCGUUGUUUUCACUGUGCCUACUUAUGUAAACCAAUGGAAUUUCUUCCUAUAGUACAUGUCUGCGAUGAAUUGGAGCAUCUUACGGAACUUUGUUUUUACGCCUUAUGGGGUUCUUACUCUCUAUAUAGCCCUUAUGUGCGUUGACAUUUGUGCGAUAAGUUCUUUUUAUCAGAACACUAUAGUGCACGAAUCUUAAUGUGCAACUAACGGUGAGACACCUGAGCCAUCAUCACCUUAAGGGCAGAAAUCACUCUGCCAUAUUUUGUGAGCAAGUUGGUAAGCUCUCGAUGUAAGCUUCCAUCUUGAGUAAGCUUUGCAACGGUUUUCACAUCCAAUUUACCAUCUUUUUCCAGAGCAAAAACUGAUUUAGUAUUUCUACAUUCAUAGCUUUUAGUAUGUAUCUAGACAUAAUGUAUAUCUACAUAUAUAGAAAAAACAAUGAAGCUAAAAAUACCAAAACGAUCUACAAUUUAGAACGGAGGGAGUAUAUACAAACAGUUGACUACAAAAGUUAUAGAACUAAACGAAGAGAUAAUCAUAUUAAAAAAUUGGCAAACUCAUAAUAAAAAAUGGCAAUUGCACACUAGCAGGAAGCCAGAACACAGACCGGGUCAAAGCGUUUUCUUUCCUUCCCAGUCUGGACUAGAUGCUGAUUGCUGAAGACCAAGUCAGUAUCCAGUGAUGGCAAGGCGACUCCACACACUUGCAGAAACCCAGUAGCUUAGCUCAAGUUACCAUGUUGAUCACUGAUCAAUGAUAUCAAGUGGUAGGUGGCAUCUCUCUGGUUAAUACUAUAAACUCAAGUCUCCUAAAAGUCAAUUCCUUUCUGCCAGCUCGGAGAAAGCAGCUUCCCAAAAGGCAUAUCUCCUCAACUCCUCUCAUCAUUCCAAGCCAAGAAACGGAGACCGGCGCGCAGGGAGAAGGCGUCUAGCCGCCUGCCUCCGUCCGUCUCCUCGCUCUCGCCGGAGCUCCGUCAUGGCCGAAGAUGGCCCUGCCGGUAUGUUCCUCCACCUUCGCCAUCUCUGCCGUUCUGUAUCUUAGAAACAAGCAUGCCCAAAACCCAAAGGGAGGAAAGCAGCCAUUCGCUCUGUUCUCUUCUGCGAAUUCACUCUGUUCGGGGGUUUUUUUUUUGUCCUCUUCUUCCCGUGGGUGUAGGUUACUACGUUGGCCGUCCCAUGAACCACGACGACCAGAAAACCCAGCCACCGCCGCCGUCGUCCCAGUCCCAGGCUGCUGACGAGCAAGUCAACGCCCAAGUUCCUGGUGCGUGCCCUACAGAUCCGAGCGUUUCUUGCCCUGAUUCCUCGUUCUGUUUCUUUCAAUCUUUUUGAGCCUACUAUUUCUGUUUGGCAAGGGCAGGCUACUACGCCGGCCGUGUGCCGGGCAAGAAAGCCGCCGGCGGCGAGCAGAGCUCCGCUGCAGAUCAGCCGGGCAAAGAAUCAGGCUUCCUUGCCAGCUGGUAAGUACUGCUCCUAUAAACUCUACAGUGCCUCAACAAUUGAUCUCGAAAUUAGCAGUGUUCAGAGCUUGAAUCUACACGCUGCUGCUGCCUGCGUGCUGCCUGACUUGAUUCCUUUGCUGACGGUUCUCUGUGCUUCAUCUCUAGUUUCGGGUGCUUCUCCGGCGGCCAAACUGCAAAAUAGAUUCAGUGGAGGUCUGGAGGAUUCAGGAAGUCAGGAUGAUGGAUGGCACUGGUUGUUUGGGACGAUGGACAAAUGUUCAGAUUUUUUUUUUUUUUGAAGAUUUUUUGUUACGGCAGUGGUGAUGUACAAGGAUAUGCAAAUGCAGAGUCAUUGAAACUAUUCUGAUCCGUCAAUUUUACCGUGCUUAUUGAUAUAGGGGACUUUUGGUUUCCUGCCUCCAUUCGCCAUGCCUAAAUUACAGCGCCACUAAAAAAAUCUUUAGCGCUGCUUGGUUAACACUUAACUUUUAGCGCGCCACACGGAAAACAACAGCGUCCUUCGUAUUCUUUUGGCCACGGCCGUGGCGCCAAUUUUGGACGUCACAAGCUGUGGCGCCGCCUCACUUGCGGCGUGGCAGGUUGAGGCUGGCAAGCAAACACGCCUGUAAAUCAUUCUCGUAUGUUUUAGCUUAUGGGAAGAAAAAUUCAUGUCU